rnacentral:lncRNA from 1 species
GCUCAAUAUAGACUGGUCCAGGUAUACCGGUCAGUCUUGAGCCACCAGGAUAGCCUUCCACAUAUCCUGUUCCUCCCUUGAGUGGUAACUCUUUUCUAACCUUAGAAUCCUGAACCAAUUUGCUCGAAAGACUCUGCCAUUGGAAGGAGUCCAUAGGUUGAUAAAAUAGGUUUUCGUGAAAACCACACAUAGAUAAAAAAGGUAAGAGUUACACGUGCCAAAAGCGAGGAAUACCACUCAGAAGCCCGAUUGAACCUGUCCUCAUUCACUGCUAUCUCCAUAUAUUGGAUGCCAAGCUUGAAAGGGUAAUGGUCCGAGAGGAUGGGGCUGUAGUCUUCUAUGAUGCACGCUACAAAGAUGAUAUGGUCUUCGGCUUACCGAGAGGGGAUAAGUCCACGCGAGUCACCCAGGGUCUCAAAAAGGUCUUAGAUAGAGUCCUUAGGGAGCUCCUACAAGGCUUCACUUCUACUGAAAUUUCCAGAAAACUACCAGGGAGACUACAAAUUAUCGGCUUGCCGCUGUCUCUGAAAAGUGAAGGUCAGCUCCACGUGGGUAUUCCAUCCGGACGAUGGGAGAAGAGGAUGACACUUGUUCGUAUUGAAAACCGGAGACGAAGGGAAAGAGGUUUGAUUGGAACAUGUUCUACAAGAACUCCUGUGUAGAACAUGCCCGUAUCUAUUCUAUGGGCUGGCUUUAGGCCAACCCUACUGUGGAAGUAGAAAGCAUCAUAUUCCGGUUUUUCCAACACUUGACUAGGAACCGGGCGCAGAUAUCUAUCUAUUAUUGCCUGCAUCGACAGCAAAGUAAACUCUCGUUGAUGAUAGAAGAACAACUCUUAGGGCAGUUGGAAGGAAACUAUGAGCUAUUUAUUGUUCCUUUCUUAGAAAAAAAGGAUAAAGGAUGGCUUAUGGUCUAUUUUCUUACUUGACUAUCCUUCCUGACUUGGCCAAUAAAAGAUACCUAGCAUGACACAUCAGCUACGCCAUCUGAGCCUGUCCACUUGCUAGUCAGGAAAAAUAACCGCUCCGUUCCGUGGGCUUCUUUCGCAGCUCUCUUCACGCUCGCUUUACGAGUGCAACCAAGUUCAUUAAACUGUUCAUGCUAAUUCAUAGACUAUGCUGGUUUCUAUCUAAGAGUCCUGUGAGACGCUUCCUUCUCAUACACAUCUGAAGCAACGUUUGAUCAUCCGCAUUAGAGAGUUUUGCAGGUCCUUGAGAGAAUGUUAUCCAGUCAGUUAUGACUUGACCAUGGUCUGAGGUGAAAUUGGUCCUGGUCCAUAAAACGAAAGGUGUUGGGCAAGCGCAGAGAAGUCGUCUGAAGGGGAGUUCCAUAGGAAUGUUCAACUUCGGUCAACCUUGCUUUGGUCCCAUGCCUAAAAAAGACAGAAGGUCAAAAACAAAAUAGGGGUGAUAUAACCCACUGCUCGCUUAAGAAUGUACUGACGUAAUCCCUACUAUGGCUUCCCGAAGGAUCCAACUGCUAAGAGGGUCCGAGCCAUAACGGAUUGAGGCUUCUGUCAGAUUCACGCGAGCCAAAGCAUUUGGCAAAAAAAGCCCACACUCAACUAAACAUUGACGAUUCUUUUCCAGAAAUCUCAAGAGCCUUUUGUUUAUUUCAAACGCUUGAGACUGAAGCCCAUUCAAAAUAUCACACAUCUGCUUGUAUUCUUUUUUAUGUAACUUUAUAUAGAAGUGGUUUAAGUCAUGGGAAGUUAAUAGCCGAAAGUGAUUCUAGAUAUCCCCCGUGGGUUUGUAUAAGUAACCUCCUAUCAGAUCCGAUAAUGUAUCAGGAUCAGACCCCCUCUCUGCUGGUUGCCAAUCCAAGGGUUUGCAAAGCAUCGGAAGAUUGAGUUUGAUAGGGAGAAGAUUUAUGUUCAAAUUGCACAUAACAUAACAAGAAUUCUCUAUAUACCCUUGACCUUUCUUACGAACCAGCACUGGAUCUUCUUUUGUUACUCCCCUAUCUGUUGAUAUAUGUAGAACAUUUCUUUCCCCGGCUAUUCAGCCAUUACUUGCAUAUCAGGUUCUUUGUACCCUUUUUAGUGCCAUGCACACUGAGGUUUCUGGCAUGAUCGAAUCUUUUGAGCAUAUCGCUUAUUACGUUAAUUUCUUCAUCUUGAUGUACUCAAUCCAUUCAAAUUCCAUAAUUCCCAGAAAGUUCAUCAAAGGAUUGUUUAUGCCAUCUCCAUAGGGGUCCGUCCGGUUCUUCCUCAAAUGGGUUGCCUCAAUCUUUAUCAAAGUUUUGGUAUCUAGCUUAUCCAGCUAUAGUAUAGGGAAAAGAGUCGACUCGAUCGACCAGGAGAAGCAAAACAAAAUCCAGAUUUGGCCGAAAAAGAUGCAACGUUAUGGAUACCAUGACCGAUCACCAUCGAGAAAGAAGAAUUUUGAUAAAUCACUUGGGGUGAGCGGGGCCUUCAAGCGGCCUCAAUACGCCGGGGUUGUAAAUGACAUACCUUUCCUUAUGGGAAAUGCCGCUUCCUUACUACAAAGGAAUAGAAUCAAGUUCUUUUUACCAAAGAAGUCCCGCUCUGACGGCCCGACGAGUCAUCUACUAAAAAGGACCCUCCCCGCUGUGCGCCCCUCCUUGAAUUAUUCGGUCAUGCAAUACUUUUUUAAUACUAAGAAUAAAAUGCAUUUCGACCCCGUCCUAGUUCUCAAUCAUUUCGUGGCACCGGGUGUGGCUGAACCAUCUACGAUGGGGGAGCGAAGGGAGGAAGCUUAGAUAAGAGAAUACGCUCUCACAUCGCUUUUUUAGAAAGCUCUACCAGCGAGAAAAAGUGAUUGGCCCGAGCCAAAAAGAGGUUGAUCGACUUCAUUCGCCAAGCGAAUGAUCUUCGCUUCGCGGGAACAACAAAAACCACCAUAUCGCUCUUUCCUUUCUUCGGUGCUACCUUCUUUUUUCCAAGGGAUGGGGUUGGGGUGUAUAAUAACCCUUUUUUGAGCAUGCCCGGAAACAACUCCUAGCUCAAUUUAGGAUCAAAUGGGAGAUGCUUCUCUAGAGUGUCCCAUAUAUGUUUUCUAUCUUCCAUACGGAAACUGUCAGUUCUCAGAAGAUCUUCUUCAGUCUUACUCAAAAGGGCCAAUAUACAGUCAUAGCAGUAAAUAUAAUCUAGUACUAAAGAAUAUAUAACCUAUCUACAUUCAAUAUAUAGUCUCCUAGACCAAGACUAUAAUAACUCCAUAGUAUAAUACUAGAUAGGUUUUUGCCAGCACAGUAUCCACUUAUACGUUUAACUCCUCUAGAUCAAAAAUGAGUGGUUUGAUAAUAUGAAUGGAGGGAUUCAAGCUUAUUUUUGUUAACCGAGAUGCAAACGACUAACAAACUGGAUUCGAAGCCACCUGUCGUAAUAGUACCUGCGGGUUCUUUCUGUGGAGCCUUCAAAUGCAAUAGCUAGCUGCCCAACGGCCAAUGCCACAGGCAAAUCUCCAUUUUCCAACUUAUACAACUCUUUGGGGUCCAAAGAUACUCGCCAUUGCAACUUAAUAAAUAGGACCGGUGGGAUCGCCUUCAAUAGAUAUACCGGUUUCACUGCUUUCGUACCCUUUGUUUUGGUCAUGUGGAUGACCCGCAGACCGUAGAUAAGAUGGAUACCCAUGUACUGCCUUCAAUGAAGAGAGUUUUACCAAGGACCCUUAGACAGAUAGGGGGGACAGACAAGAGGUAUGCAACCUGCAGAAUAUUGUCACCGAAUCGCUCACUGACAAAUACUUAGGGCUCCCCUCCCUGGUAGGAGUGGAUAGGAGCGACUGCUUCCAACACUGAAUUGAGAGAGUUUGCACUCGGAUUAAUGGUUGCAAAGAGGAAGGGCUAAUUGGCUCCGCCAUGGAGACCGAAAUACGAGCUUCUUUCAUCACAUCAUUUUGCAACGGAGAAAAAAGAAGAACAUAAUAAAGUUUCUGAAUGACUCAAACGGCAACAGGAUCGAAGGUAAUGACCAGUUAGCAUCUCUGAUACAGGGUUUCUUUGAGGGACUGUUCACCUCAGCAGUCCUAGCUCCCGACCCUGGGCUACUGGGGAAAGUAAACAGGCGAGUAACUGAAGAAAUGAACGCAAGCCUCUUGGCUCCGUUCACGGCAGAUGAAGUAAAGGCAGCACUCUGAAUUCAAUCGAGAGUUAGGUAUAGUAAUCUUCAGAUAUGACAAUACCUCCCCCAAAGCAUUGUCAAGUGUUGGAAUUAGGGCACCAACCACGAAUAGGAGUUGUAUAGAACUCCGGAAAGAGACCUUUGAUGAAGUCGGCAUCCUCCCAAGUGGCAUUUGCUUGAUCCAAACUAGCCCACUUCCUUGGUUGCUGAAAAACCAUGCAACGCAAGUAAUUUUCCACACACUGAUUCACACGUUCUGUCUGGCCAUCUGAUUGUGGGUGAUAGGCAGAGCUAAACCUCAAUUUCACUUGCAGUGCUUUGAAGAAGACCUGCCACAUGUUACUUGUGAAUAUCUAGUUUCUAUCAGAGAGUAUUGACUUUGGCAAUCCAUUCCACUUAAAAACAUUAUCCAUGAAAGCAUGAGAGACUGAUUGUACUAUAUAAGGGUGAGAAAGGGGAAUGAAAUGAGAAUAUUUAGUGAACCUGUCCACCACCAACAAUAUGACUUCUUUGCCCAAUGAUUUGGGAAGACCCUCAAAGAAAUCCAGGGAGAUGUCAGUCCAAGCAGAAGUAGGUAAUGGCAAUGGAUCUAGGAGACCAGGGUAGUGGCAAUGCUCUCCCUUGACUCUUUGGCAAACUGCACACUCAUGUAGAAAAGUUUCAAUCUCCUGGCCUGGCGCCAAUCAAAUAGCUUUUUUACCAUUUGAUAAGUAGCCACAAUGCCUGAAUGGCCUCCUAUGGGAGAGUUGUGAAGUGAAUCAAUGAUUUGGUGUUUAAGAACAGCAUCUGAUCCCACAUAUAUUCUUCCUUUAUAUCUCAAAAUGCCAGAAUGAAGAGUAUAAGGGGGUGUUGCAUUGGCUGAUACAGUGAGCUUCUCAAGCAGAGAUUUGCAAUGAUCAUCAUUAGUGUAGCUGGUUUCUAUAGUUGAAGCCCAAGCAGGAGUAACUGCAGUGACUGCCAUCACAAGACCUGGAGAUAUCAGAAGUGAGAAUGCUGACAUGAGUAACGAGAAAUCCUGUGAAAAACACAAUCGCCUGCCAGUGGAAGGCUUUCUGCAUUCAGUUAAUCUACGCAGAGUGAAUCGGUCCCUAAGGAACCCCCGAAAGGGCUGCCGUCCGAUGGGUACACGAAAGUGACAAAGUUGCUUUGACUACUGAACCAUGCCUAGAUCGUCGGAGCGAAUUGGAUGAUCGGGCCGAGGGCUGCCCCCUCUUCCCCUCGCUCUCCUUUCCUUAAUAUUCACCGUCGAGUCAUCAAAGCCGUAAACUAAUUCAGAGGGGCUCGGCUGGCCCGGUCGCCCUACGCUACUGGCGCUUCCAAAGGCGAAGCUCUCGUCUUUGGCGACCAGCAAACGGAGGGCUAAAACCUAUAGUUUUGAAGCAAGGGAUGAGCGCGAAAGCCGUUGCGCUUCCGUACACAUGCAUACAUUUUCUUGCUGGGGCGGACACGGUUUCUCUCUAAAGGCGAAGAAAAAGAAGUGGGCGAACACUCGGCCCAGCGGGCGAACAUGCCGGCUCCAGCUCCGCGCACCUGCUCACACCUUUCGAAGCACUUUCACGUGUGAACCGAAGUCGUCUUGCCGAACUCCUUCCUUUCUCAUUUCAGUCCUCGCCUUUUUCAUCUUCCGUAGGGGCCUUUAGUCUUUUGAUUAGAGUGGAGGUCGCGAGAGAGCAGAGCGUACCGCCCUGCCAUAGUCGCGAGGAUCUUAAUACUCGGUCACGACUGUUGUCAUAGUCAAUGACGGUUGAAACUUCCAGGAAAAAACUUCGAAUUGGGAGGGCGAUCCUCCCGGUGAACUGACCGUACCCCAAACCGGCACAGGUGAACAAGUAGAGUAUACUAGGGCGCGUCGAGAGAACCAUGUCGAAGGAACUCGGCAAAAUGACCCCGUAACUUCGGGAGAAGGGGUGCUCUCCUAUCUUUUGAUUAGGAAAGUGGCACAUACCAGGGGGUAGCGGCUGUUUAUUAAAAACACAGGACUCUGCUAAGUGGUAACACGAUGUAUAGAGUCUGACACCUGCCCAGUGCUGGAAGGUCAGAAGGAGAAGUGUGAUAAGCUUUGAAUGGAAGCCCCAGUAAAUGGCGGCAGUAACUCUAACUGUCCUAAGGUAGCGAAAUUCCUUGUCGCAUAAGUAGUGACCUGCACGAAUGGUGUAACGACUGCCCCGCUGUCUCCGACAUGGACCCGGUGAAAUUUAAUUCUCCGUGAAGAUGCGGAGUACCAACGGCUAGACGGUAAGACCCCAUGCACCUUCAUUAUAGCUUCGUAGUGACAACCUUGAUUGAAUGUGUAGGAUAGGUGGGAGGUGGUGACACACAAUGACCAAUCCUGAAAGACCACUCUUUCUUCUAAGGAUGCCUAACCGCCGCACCGAUCAUUCGAGGGGGGGGGGUGGCGGGACACUGCGAGGUGGGUAGUUUAUCUGGGGCGGAUGCCUCCUAGAGUAACGGAGGUGUGCGAAUGUAGGCUCAAGCGUUGAUUCUUCUCGUGAGCGUAAUGGUAUAAGCCUGCAUGACUGUGAGACCGACUGGUUGAACAGAGACGAAAGUCGGCCAUAGUGAUCCGGGAGUCCCAUGUGGAAGGGCUCUUGCUCAACGGAUCAAAGGUACGCCGGGGAUAACAGGCUGAUGACUCCCAAGAGCUCUUAUCGACGGAGUCGUUUGGCACCUCGAUGUCGACUCAUCACAUCCUGGGGUUGAAGAAGGUCCCAAGGGUUCGGUUGUUCACCGAUGAAAGUGGCACGUGAGUUGGGUUUAGAACGUCAUGAGACAGUUCGGUUCCUAUCUACCGUUGGUGUUAAAGGGAGAACUGCGAGGAGCCAGCCCUAGUACGAGAGGACUGGGCUGGGUCAACCUAUGUUGUACCGGUUGUUAUGCCAAUAGCAGCGCCGGGCAGCUAAGUUGGUAUGGAAGAACUACUGCACCGCGGGAAAUCCUUCUCUAUACAAGUUCUCAUACGAGGUUUUUGAACGGAACUUCGAUAGGCGAGAGGUGUAAGCACCGCGAGGUGUGAAGCGAUCUCGUACUAAACGAAUGGAAAUUGACAAUAAUAAAAAAACAUAACUUAGAAAGAGAGGUAAGGUCUGCCGGUUUGCAACUCUGAAGCUGAAAAGGAAAAGUAACGUUAGCCGGUUUCCAGUUCCAGUUCGUUACCUGACUGCUCCGCCUUAACGCGAAAAGAUAGGAAAAGUGCCUAUCUUUUUUAUCGGUUCUAGUUCCUUGCACUUUCAAUAGCGUCCUACUUAGUUUUUUAUGGAACGCAUUUUCAGGCGGAUUCGUUUAGUAAAAGAGGCCUUGUGGUACCUAAUAUUUCCCUUGUUAAAACAAGGCUUCGAUAGGUAGGGUCUCGAAGGGGCCUCCCUCGUUCUUGCUCGUAAAACAAGUCUCUCCUUUGGUUUUGCUUUUUUUUGGCUUCCUUAAUUUGAUGAAAUCAAGCCGUUCGACCACAGAUAGGAUCAGUCGCUCGGGAAAACCCACUGUUUCCUGCCCUUUUCUAAACAGGGAAAUCUGCUUGGAAAAGCUCCUUGUUGCUAGUUCAGUAAAUAAAGAAAGAGUGUCGGACGCUUGGGAGGACUUCCAUUUAAUAGCAAAGCAGUUCUAUUCCUUGCCCGGAAUGCUAAUGUUCGGUUCUAAAUGCAUUAGGCAGAGCCCUUGUUUGCUAUUAAAAAAGGUGUCCAACAAGGACUUGGAGCCUGAUUGUGAAGGAACAUACGCCAGGUCUCGCAAAUCGGCCAAAUAGGCCUCCUUUUUGGAGUGAACAAGCCUUUUCCCUUUGAUCCCUCAUGUGAUCAAAUCAAGUCCGUCUACUUGAAAGUGAAGUACUUCAGUGAGUAGUAGUUCAUAAUGUUGGUCUUAUUCAAGGUAGUUUUUAAAAACCUAGCAAUACCAUUAAGAACAACGUUGACGAGGAGUGACUGAACACUUGAGGGAACGAACGAGGAAGACCGAUCCCAAAUAAAUAGAGUUUCUGACAUUAGGAGGAAUUCCCUUUAAUAGGGAAAGCUUAGAUCGGUACCUCUGGCAUCGGUACCUUGCCUAAGCGCCCUGGGCGACCGGACUCGACAAGGGUAAGAUCCCACUCAGCAGGCUACACCGAUUAGAGAGAGUACGUCGUCUAUUCAUUCCACUCAUUCCUUAACAUCCAAAGCUAAGAAUUCAAAAAGUUAAUAGGUGGGUAGGUGUUCUUAGGUUCGUAACAUGCCUUUCUCGGAAGCCUUGUUGAAUUAAUGGCAAGGGAGGUAUUAGCUUAAUGGCUUGGCUAUGCUUGAGUCAGCUGAAAUCAUUUAUGACGAAUAAAAUCAAUCAGAGGUAGUUACCUCUCUUGUAGCCGGGUAUGAGAGGUCUAGUUCGGUGAGAAUAGAUAGGGAUAGAAAGACCAUCCUGGUGCACAUGCUAUGGGUCUUAUUGUUUGUUGGGAAAUCAAGGAAGACUAGCUUUGGCGUGGGAAGCUUACCAAUUUAUGCGGUGGCUACUCGAUCGAGAAGAAAGAGCAGUUGUUACCCGCCUCCACUAUUAAGCAGCAUGAGCCACUAGACUAACUCGAUAUCCGUGUGUGGAUCCGCCCGAAAAGAUGAAGACAAGGAAGAGCCAUUCUUCAUACAUAGGAGCGAGUGGUCGAAAUGGAAAGCGGACAAACGGAAUUAUGUACAACUAUAAGGUUCAGUUCUUUCUUCUGUCCCAGGUCCUUUCUUCUCUUGCGGAUCUUUCUUACUUUUAUUCCUCAUCUAGCUUACAAAAACUACAUAUUUUUUUAGAUAUGGACCUGGGGUUCUCGCUUCUGCGCAAGCUAUUUCCGAACCUUCCUGCCUUCGGGGAGAUGGGUUAGGUCAUACGCGGGACCUACCCCGAGAAAGGAGGCUUGAGGCGCGCUAAAUACAAUUGCAUUUGAUAAAACAUAUGCAUUUGAUAAAACAUAUGCAUUUGAUAAAACAUUUGCAUUUGUUAAAACAUCUGCAUUUGAGAGAAGUGAAAGUAAUCCAUAUUUGCAUUUGCGGCGACAAAAUCCGGAAUCUGAGAAUAAGGGUUUGGAUUAGGGGGGGGGAGGGGAACAAAGAAGGUAUUUAGCGCAAAGAACUUCUUCCACUUUUGGGGAUUCCACUAAUUGAUAGAAGGAAGUGGAUGCAGCAGGAUUGGCCCCAAUUGAAUCACUAGUAGAAGAGAUCCACGUGCAGAGACUGUUAGGGAGAUGCAGAUGGAGGGACGUUUGGGUUGCUGCUAGAAGGGCUUACGAUGAAUAGAUUGUUGGAAUGGCUUUAAGUGAAAGGGAAUCCGGCAGCUUAUAUAGCGCUAGUGAGAGGCCUCCUAGUCUAUUUUGAUGGACGUCUCCUAAUCCUUCUUUUUCUAUGGGUUCAGGAAUGCCAUGCCAAUAAUAGAUAGAGCAGCUAAUGGUCCAGCCAGAGGCAGCAGGUCUCAUUCCAGACUCCACUCAGAAUACCCGGCUCUUUUUCUAGACUCCACUAGGAAGAUCUUGCUCUUUCACAGAUACGGGGAUCAGACAUGGCUAUCGCUUCGACAGCUUCUCCGGAUGAAAAGACGCCGCCGCUGCCCAAUGGAUGGAGUUGGAGGGACACAGAAUCCUUCCUAAGAUGUGCCUAGAGAGAACAAUCCUUUCAGAAUCUCGUAUGUCUAAGUGAUCAACUACUUGUGCCUCUGAAAAGCUAGAAAUCAGUAAAAGGAAUGAUCUACAGAUAGAGGGUUCAAACCAUAUAGCAGCACUCAUCCCUCCCUGACCCGAGUCCCCUAGCCUCUCAGCUUUCCCUUGUUAAAACAAGGCUUCGAUAGGUAGGGUCUCGAAGGGGCCUCCCUCGUUCUUGCUCGUAAAACAAGUCUCUCCUUUGGUUUUGCUUUUUUUUUGGCUUCCUUAAUUUGAUGAAAUCAAGCUGUUCGACCACAGAUAGGAUCGGUCGCUCGGGAAAACCCACUGUUUCUUGCCCUUUUCUGAACAGGGAAAUCUGCUUGGAAAAGCUCCUUGUUGCUAGUUCGGUAAAUAAAGAAAGAGUGUUCGACCCUAGGAUCGGACUUUCAUUUAAUAGCAAUGCAGUUCUAUUCCUUGCCCGGAAUGCUAAUGUUCGGUUCUGAAUGCAUUAGGCAGAGCCCUUGUUUGCUAUUAAAAAAGGUGUCCAACAAGGACUUGGAGCCUGAUUGUGAAGGAUCAUACUUCAGGUCUCGCAAAUCGGCCAAAUAGGCCUCCUUUUUGGAGUGAACAAGCCUUUUCCCUUUGAUCCCUCACGUGAUCAAAUCAAGUUCGUCUACUUGAAAUCGAAGUACUUCAGCGAGUAGUAGUUCAUAAUGUUGGUCUUAUUCAAGGUAGUUUUUAAAAACCUAGCAAUACCAUUAAGAACAAGGUCGACGAGGAGUGACCGAACACUUGAGGGAACGAACGAGGAAGACCGAUCCCAAAUAAAUAGAGUUUCCGACAUUAGGAGGAAUUCCCUUCAAUAGGGAAAGCUUAGAACGGUACCUCUGGCAUCGGUACCUUGCCUAAGCGCCCUGGGCGACCGGACUCGACAAGGGUAAGAUCCCAAAUCUGUUCCUUUCCUGUUGUAAAGUCUGCACCCUUAGAGGUGGCAUCCCUUUACGCAUGAGCCUUGUUAGUGCAUGUCUCAGUCCCUUGAGACAUGCUCAGUCGUAUGUUAGGAAACCAAAUAGUGUAAUUAGCUUCCCCCUCUAUUCCCGGCCAUCAUAUGGACGAGGGCUCCUCUCCCUCUGCUCUGCUGCCCGGAAAGGUAUAUAUAUACUUAAAUUAGGAAUUGAAAAUGCUUGGGCUUGCCUUAUUCUCUCAUUUAAGUCCUUCAAUUCCCUUAUUCGGAAUGGAGAGGGAUGUUGUUGAAGGGAAGGAACGGAGGAAGAUCGUUCUGAGGAACUAGAUUAUCAAAGGACGUCCUUACUUGCUCUUCUUUUGACUGAUAAUUUCCAAACAGUAAGUAGUUGCCAAAGGGUCCAACUACUUACACCGUUUUGAUUAUUUUUUUCCGUUGCAUAAAAGAGAUCCCUUACCCUUUCUUUAGAAAAUGAUGAAUAUGAAGUCCGAGAGGCUGCGGGUACCAUGGAUCCUCUGACUCCCAAUCGGGUUACCUUCCUGGGUCUCGCCGGUGUUGCCUGUAGGUCAUGAUGUGCCUAGAGAUGGCUGUCUCCUGUCCCCCUGCUCGUGGGGAAUCCGCUCCUGGGGCGUCGCUCUGCUGCGUAUGGCCCGUACUCUAGGCACCUUUGGAGGGCGGGGAGUGUGACAACGUACACGCUUCCCUUUACUCCAUAGGGCCUUUUCCUCAGUUGCAGGGUUUGGUGGCCCGAAAUUGACUUGGCUUCGCCAAAAGGCCUCAUCUCCAAAGACCGGCUCGCGAGGCGUCCCUCUCGCUGUAGGGCGGAGCCCCCUCGCCUCGCUCUUGUGACAUGCUAUGUUUCCCUUCUUCCAUUCUCAAGUCAAGGGUGAGUCCCAUGCGUCAGUUUGUGGAUCGCGGUCUCACGCACUAAUCCCUACAGGUGCCCAUAGUAGGUCGGCCGCCCUACCUAAACCAAUCAUCAUAUUGGUCCCUAGGCCCCAUUGCUGGAAAGGCUCGGCUUCAAAACCGUACGUGGAGUUUCCGCCUCAUAUGGCUCCUCUAGGGAUGGGGGUAGGACCAGCCCAGGCUUGUGCGGUUAAGGUUGUUGUACACGACCUCAGUUGAGCAUUCAGUUAGAGGCGGCGAUCGCAGGUUCGCCGGAGGAGAGGGUGUUGUGAGCAAGAUUGCACAAACAAAGCCCUCCUGCCCGCAACCCUAUUCUAGAAAUUAGGCUGCCUACGUUACUUAUAACCACAGAACGAGCAAUGAAUCCCCAACGACAAACGAACAAGGGGCGGGGCAUUUUCGGGGAGUAGCCCCCUUCAGAAGAAACUUCCUGGCACAUACAUUAAGGGAGCCAUCGAAAGGUGACUGAAACACCUGAAACGGGGACUGCCCGAGCUAAUGAUAGAGGCAAGAACACUUUCCGGCCAAGUCCUAUUAAUUGAUCAUAACGAUAUCAUGGAAAUGCUGCACGGACCCAUAUAUAUAGAAAUAGAAAAAGAAGAACCUUGAUACUAAACCAGAUCGAACAAGGGAUCUUUUUGGAAAUGGGAAGAUCUAGGAUAGGCAGCCAACCUCUUGGAAAGAGCAAUGUGCAUAGACCGGGUGAGUAGGGAUGCAGCUCCGUGGACCGCUCGUCGGGCCUGAUAGGUGGUGGUAUCACACCCUUCUCAAAGGAACCGUACGUGAGACUCUCGCCUCAUACGGCUCCGUCCUGGAAUCUGGACCCCCCCUUUCCUUUGACCAACGGGUCCUUGAACCCAUGGGGGUUACGAAUCAUUCAUUCAUUGAUUGAUUCAAGGUAGCUUUAGCCAUUGUGGGUAGAAGCUAGUCGCCAAAAGCGAAGCAGCGAUCUUCCAGGCCGGAAAGGUUCUAUUUUUCUGACGCGUAAGCUACCACAAAAUGAAUGAAGGAAAAAGGCCUCGGGAUUAGAAAGACUAAAGAGGCAUGGAGGGCCGACUACAAGACUACGACUACAAUACAAGCCAUGAGCGAUAGCGAAGCCUUCAGCCUUUUUUUCGAAAGCCCCACAACUAGCUAUCUUAUAGCAGAUAAGGCAAGCCUACUCAACUAAUCUCAUGUAAACGCUUGUUCGCUAAAAUCCAAAUAGAAAAAGACAACUACUUAUUAAGCAUGUAGUUGAGUGCUCCGUUGUUGUUCGGAUCUUGACCGAGUCCGAGCCUCCCAAGCUCUAUGCUGUUUGGGAACUCAGCAAGGGUCUUACCACCUUCUUGAUUGACUAUAUUUGAGUCUUUGGGGUACUUUAGGAUUAUAUUCCGCGCCGAAGAUUUGUGCUUGUGGGCUAGGGUGAAUAUAGCGGACCAGCAGAUCUGGUAGUUGACAAUCAUUCGGACUUGGUAAAGGUUGUCGCAGCACCUGUAGUAGGACAGAGGACUUAUCGCGAUGCCCGCGGACCAAUUUACUAUGUAUCUGUCGCUGACGUUGGUCAAGGAGGCCACGUGGAUUGGCCUGGGUCUUCUUCGGCUAAUGAGACAUCGAUCCCGAAGCCUUUGGAGUAUCUUUUUGAUAGGCGCCUCUAUCUGUAUGGGGAAUUCAUUGCUGAAAGAUCCCGCCCAGUGUCCCCUUCCUUCCCCCGCUGCCUUCCGACCAAAGGGAGUAUACAAUUUCUUCCUCAGGACACUCAUGCCCGAUCGUGAGACUUCCUGUUGAACGCCUGAUGGCACCUUGCUCUGACCUGAGCUAUUACAUUUGCGUGAAUAUUGCUGUAAUCCUAGCUGGUUAAUUUGAUCUAAACAAAGCACAUUAUAGCUAUACUUGUUUUAUCGGUUCCAGUUCCUUGCACUUUCAAUAGGGUCCUACUUAGUUUUUUAUGGAACGCUUUUUCAGGCAGAUUCGUUUAGUAAAAGAGGCCUUGUGGGUUGGUGGAUGAAGAAUAGGAGAGAGCUUGCUUGAGUAGAAGAUAACCCGCGAGAAGGAUGUUUUGUAGCGCUUUCUCAUACAAAAGGAAAAGGCGUCACGACCGAAGAUAAGGAAAGAUCCCAGCUUUUCAUUGCUCUGUCGCGCCACCCCUCCUCCCAGAGCCGGUUCAUAUCCAUAGAUUUUUCAGCUAAAAGAUACAGUAUAUAUAUCAAUGAAAGAUGGCGCCUUUGGUUCUUGGUACGACUGGUACUUUUUCUCAUUUAUCGGUCUAGUUGGAAAAAUUUCCCCUCAAAGAGCAAGUUUUUCUUAUAUAUUAUGCUGUGCCCUUGCCCCUAACCUUCCUUUCUCUUCUAUAAAAAGGAUGGGCGUCAAAUGUAACUGAUGCUUAUAUUCUAAAUACGUUUACGCUCAAGCAGGGGAAGUCAAUUUGACUGCUGCUCGAGAACCUGUUUGAACAAGAAGAAGUAGCAUGGCUCCAGCGGCGCAGAGCCAAUUGGCUACGACAUGGUGACCGAAAUACAAUUUUUUUCCACCACUUUGCAAUUGCUAGAAAAAAGAGGAAUCUGAUUAAGUACUUGAUGAGCAAUACUGGAGAUCGAAUAGAAGGUAAUGACUUACUCAAUGCACAUAUUUAGGGCUAUUUCUCUCAUCUGUUUAAUACGCAAUUCUCUUCGAUAAGAAGGGUUCUCUUGUGUUCCAGGGUUGAUUAAGCGUCUGGUGGAACAGGGAUACAUUGUGUGAGGCCAACUUGCCUGACGAAUUGAUGAAUAUGGCUCAAUAUAGACUGGUCCAGGUAUACCGGUCUGUCUUGAGCCACUAGGAUAGCCUUCCACAUAUCUUGUUCCUCCCUUGAGUGGUAACUCUUUUCUAACCUUAGAAUCCUGAACCAAUUUGCUCCAAAGACUCUGUCAUUGAAAGGAGUCCAUAGGUUGAUAAAAUAGGUUUUCAUGAAAACCACACGUAGAUAGAAAAGGUAAGAGUUACACGUGCCAGAAGCGAGGAAUACCGCUCGGAAGCCCGAUUGAACCUGUCCUCAUUCACUGCUAUCUCCAUAUAUUGGAUGCCAAGCUUGAAAGGGUAAUGGUCCAAGAGGAUGGGGCCGUAGUCUUCUAUUACGCAUGCUAUGCAGACGGUAUGGUCUUCGGCUUACCGAGAGGGGAUAAGUCCACGCGAGUCACCCAGGGUCUCAAAAAGGUCUUAGCUAGAGUCCUUAGGGAGCUCCUACAGGGCUUCACUUCUACUGAAAUUUGCAGAAAACAACCAGGGAGGCUACAAAUUAUCGGCUUGCCCCUGUCUCUGAAAAGUGAAGGUCAGCUCCAUGUGGGUAUUCCAUCCAAACGAUGGGAGAAGAGGAUGACACUUGUUCGUAUUGAAAACCGGAGACGAAGGGAAAUAGGUUUGAUUGGAACAUGUUCUGCAAGAACUCCUGUGUAGAACACGCCCGUAUCUAUUCUAUGGGCUGGCUUCAGGCCAACCCUACUGCUGAAGUAGAUAGCAUCAUAUUCCGGUUUUUCCAACACUUGAUCAGGAACCGGGUGCAGAAAUUCCUUGAAGAGAAGGGGAUGCCUACAAUCAAUGCCUAAAUAAAGGCAUAUGUCGAAAAGUGCAACUACUAAUAAAUUCAGUAAAGGAAGGCCCGGAACGGGCUGAGCUACUACCCGAAAUAGAAGAGGACGACUAGAGUGGAGGGGCCUAAUUCCAAUCCAAACAAUUGACGAGGGAGUCUAAUUAUUUUUUCGUUCUUGAUUGUUUCAAUUGCACUUUCUUCAUUGGAGGGUUGCUUGGAAAGUGCGAUCGUUACAGCGCUUGGAGUAUACGGAUUGAAUUCUUCCUUCUUCUAUAGGUCUUUCUGGGCGGCGAGGCAGAAAAAAGGUGUAGAGAGGGAGAAGGUACAUAAAAAACGAUUUCUAAGGUAGAAAAGAGGCAUCCACCAGUCAUUGAGAACAGCUAAUCCCGGAAUUAGCAGGUCGGUAUGCGAAGAGAAUUCGGUAUUAAAUCCGCGAGGCCAGGUGAAGAAAAGUCCAAUAUGGGUGGAUUACCUUUUUCUGAAGGAUAAGUCUCUGGGACUGACUGAACUGAAUGUAUAGCGUCAAGAUAAGAAGCACGGUAGUCGAAGAUGUACCUUGUGGGGUGGGGUACGAGUAGACCAGACCAAUGAUGAAAAACAUAGAUACGAGCAUGGCCUCCCUGUCUCAAAAGCAGGCCGCCAAGGGUGCUCGAUUCACAUUUCUAUAUGAUAAUAUGCACGACUGAUUCUCGUAUCUGCUGAUACAAGAGAUUCUUUCCAAAGAUAACCCUAACCCCUGGGUGGGAGAAAGAUGGAGACAAUACUGCCGUUGAAGCGCAAGAGUGAGCAGCAGUCCGGUCAGCCCUUGCUUUCUCAACUUGAGCAGGAAACUUCCAACGAAAUAGGAGGGAGGGGCACUCUCAAAUAGGAAUGCAAACAUAAAAUGCAUGCUCUUGAGUGUCAAUUCCUCUUAUGACCGAAGUGAAUAACAAAGAUCCCUUCCAUCUGGACACUGAAUAAUGAGAGAAUCGUAGAAGUUAUCGGAAUCCGGGGCUAGAGUCUUUGGCUGAACAUCCACAGAUGAUUGAUUCCCUGCGCUAUCAAGUAUUGGAUUGUAGUGGGGGUUAGUUGGCUCAGCAUAUGGUAUAGAUCGAUAGAUAUAUUUGAUACAUCCUAUAACAUGGAGACGGAGAUAGCCAAGCCCCUUUCUCGAAAGGCAAACCCUCUUUAUCAUCCAACACAGGAUCUCCCUAUGGAAUACCACCAUUGUCUUUCUCCAUCUCACUCAAUAUUAUAUAUUGGUAUAAAUAGCUCAGCUCACGAAAUAGAGCGAGCAAGAGCUCGAACUUGGUAGGAAAGUUCGGAUAAGUCGACUCGACUCCUUAGUGCAGCGUACACUUGCUGAAGCAAAACGAGGCUCAUCCAUUUGUUUUGAUCCGAAUCACACUCUAGACCAGCUCUUCUUGUAGACAAGGAACUCCACUUUGACAGUCAUACGAGAGGGAAGAGACUCAAAGUUGAUGAGAAUAGUCGAUUCGACUGGUAUCACGAAUAGCAGUUUUAGUAGAAAAGGGCGUUGAUGAUUGAAAGGAUUUCUCCUCGAACCACUAGUAACUAUGUCAGCUUUUGUCAUUCUGAUGAUACUGAAUCGGAUCAAUAUUUGGAAUAACAAUAUCUGAUCUAUCAAAUCGACUCAUCAUCGAGACUUUCAAAGGUUACGUGGUUGCAGGUCCUCGCCCUUCAGGUUGAAGGAGAUGUGUACUCGACUUCCUUUAAGUAAGUGGUGGCCCAUAAUAGUAGAGAUGUAUAACAAUAGUAGCUUAACCAAAGGGAUAGACUUGAACUCUUCCACACCCCCUUGCCAGAGGUUUUAAGAGAACAACCUUUUGGGGAUACCAAUUCCACCCAUUCGCAGCAAUGGAACUAGCACUUUCUUAACAUUUCCACCGUUCUUGCUUAUUCCCCUUACUUACCCAAUGAAAGAUAUAGAUUGGAAAUUGGAAGAUGGUCAUCCAUAGUUAUCUUGUUGAAAAUACCCUCCCUUACUCAUCAAAAUGUUGGAAGUGACUUGUGGGAAGAGAGAAUAACUAUAGAUGCUCGAUAUGCAUAUUGAUCAAUCGAUCUCCGCGUCCUGCCAGUUCGCUAAGUAGACUCACUCUACCAAGGGGCAGAAGAAGAUCAAGCCGAUAAGGGGAAGCGCUGAGAAAAAUCUCUCUCUUAUCUAAAUAUAAGAGCACGCUUUAUCUCUAUGCACACAGAAAAAGGGGAUCUUGUGAUGAUAAAAAUGGUACGUAUGUGGAUCACUUUGGCUCCGCCCAAAAGCCCCUGAGCCGACUAUCUCUUGGCACAGCCAAAGCAUUUCCUCGCCUGAGGCCUGCUCAAAGCUAACUUGAAUCCGAACAGCUUGCUGCUUCUCCGAAACCUUCACCAGCUUGUGUAUCCUUGUAAGGUCGCGGACCCGGCGUAAGAACAAGAAACGUGAGUCUAGCAUGACAUAAACCCAAACCCGUCACUUUUGAUACUUCUCAUCUCAGGACAAGUCACAGAAGAGGUAAGGCGCUAUAGCCAGUGAAGGAAAGGGAAGAAAAACUAGUUCUAUGUCAAUUCUACAGCCAGAGAAAGAGGGAAUGAAUGAUCGGUCUUGUUCUGGAUCUCUUUCCUUGCGCCCUAGUCCAUUCCAUCUAUCUUGACUGCAACUUGGAUUCUUUCUUGACUCCUAUUUGGAUUGGUAGUCCGUCAAAUCUCUAAGCAGGUGGCUAGAAAACCUUCUAGAAUAGGAGGAAUAUAAGAUAGUUUCUCAUCAGGAAUGGAAUUCGGUUUCCAAUCUGGUCACACAUGACUCUUGCCCUAAAGCAAUUUCUUGAUUAGGAGCAGUGGGUGGCCCAUAGAAAGGAAUGCCUGCCUAUCCAUAGCCGGGCAAAUUGCUGCAUAUUCAAGUCACCCAAUUCUCUUCUCUUGCACUAUGUCUAUUGGAAUGGACCCUUGAUUCUCCAGCAGAUCCUCCUGGUAUGGAAGGAUAUCAUCCACAAAACAGAUUGCGGAAAAUGCCAUCGAAGUUCGCAAAGGAGCGGUCUUCCCAAUCUCUCUUUUAUUUGUGGGAAUCUCUAGUGAGACCUGUGAUAGAAGGGGUAAAGGUGAAUUUCAGUCCUCUUUCUCUCGGAAAUAUACGCCACAUGCCAUUGAUCGAUCUCUCUCAAGCUAGGUAUCGGUGAAGUCCGUCAUUGAAUUGAAGUGGUAGAGUGGUAAGUGUGCGUACAGUCUAUGGAUUUCCUAUCAGUGGCAUUAGUUCCUUCUCUAGAUAGAUGGCUAUUGAGCUUCUCAUUCGUGAGAGUCAUGCGCCGGAUCAAGGGCUCUCUCAUCUCGUAUUUGGAAAUGUAUAGGUUCUGUAUGUAAGUGGCCAGUGCCCGCGGGUAAAGGUUGAUCAUCCAAAGUCAUCUAAUCCAUCUAAGUGCCGGUAUUGCCCAGUGCUUGACUGGAGUUGUCAUGAUACCCGGAUACUCACCUCACUAUACGCUAAUUCAGGGAAAGGUCAUGCUGGGAAGCUUCCUUGAAAGAUAGUCUCAACACUCUCGACAAGAAACGAGAACCCAGCCAACGAAGGUUUAUGCAUAUAUUGGUCCGCAUCCAGAGGAAGUCAAGGUUUCCAGAUGUGCUCAUCCGUGCUUGCUGAUAUGCAAAUCGAUUGGAAUUGGCAAAUCAUAGAGUUUGUCGCUGACAAGAGCUGUUUUGGCCAUGGUGAUCCUCCUCUCAAUACCCAUUCCUGCGAAUUCCCAGUCCAAUUAUAUUAGUCUAAUGUGUAGAAGAAAAAGAGGAAUCCAUGAGAAAGACCAUCUUGUUUGUGGCAAUGGAACAUUCCUUUCCACUUUUUUGAAUGGAGAUCACUGACGAGCACUCUAGCGCAAAUCAAGAGUAAAGGUAGGAGCUAUGAAGCUGUCCCGGGUAGGAAAGGAUCCCUUUGAGUUCAUAUUGCUGUAGGAGAAAUAGAAGGGCACAGAGCUUCUAUAUACCACUGGAUUCCACCAGACUGUUCUGUGGAAAACACGUCACCCUAUCCCUUCCCUAACGGGAACCUGGAUACCAUAGCAUAGGAACCUCGAAAAUACGUAUUAUAGGUUGGUUGUAUACACACUCAUCCUUUAAGAAGAUAAGAGAGCCCCGCGGACAUUUCCUUCCUCGAAACCUGGAAACUGAUACUGCCUCGAUUCUGCUUCCGUCUAUGAUGUCCAAUCUUACUUUCGUGCCGAUGAAGGGCAGUCCGGAAGGUGGAGUUAGCACCGGGCCUAUUCUUAUAAGAAUAAGUAGGAGUAGGAGCACUCUUCUUCCUCAAGCGUAGUCGUAUUAGUUGGAUCCGGCAUCCUUUCGACUGGAGAUACCCUAGCAUUACCGGGUUCCCGGCAUACUGGCAAGUUUACUUGACUCACCCAUUCUUGAGACUGGCCUGGCCACUACUUUGUUUGAUUUCCUUGUCACUGUAGUAAGCAAGCGGCACCUAUUGAUCUACUUCCCUCUAGCAUCACUCAUCCUUACGGCACUAGUCCAUCCAUCCCUCGACCGAAGAGAGUCUUCCUCCUCACGGAACUAGGGUUUGGUAACAUAGACAAGACUUUCGAGCGCGACGUUGCGCACAUCCUCUUGCUUGGUAUCUUUUCUAGUGUGCAUCACAUUCAUUUUCCUUUCCAUUCAUUUUCCUUCCAUGUAGAUAUGAUAAUCUUCGUGGCAUCAACCUCAUAUAGGAGCUGCCAGUAGUACUUUCGCAGGAUUUUAAAGCAGGCAAACUUAUGAUGCGAGUCUUGUUAGAAUAGAACCAGUGCACUCUGAAAUCCGAACCAACCAAUAUGCUUCGCUUUCCUCUGCUCGUAUAGACUCCGUUCGUGUUAGGACAUCCAUAGCCAAUAGUAAUAGUAGCUAGUAGCUUCGCCCCCCCCUUGCCCCCGAAAAGGUUCUCAUUGCUCGCUGGAUCUAGUUGACUUGCUGCUACAGCAAUCAAUCUAUCUAUAUGUUCCGGACGGAAGAGAGAGUUUCCUACAUUCCCAUUCCCAUGAACUGAACAUCGGGUACCAACGAUCAUAGAAGCAAUGUUAGCCGGUUUUAGACUUAUCAGGCGUAACUAAAGAAAGAGGUGAAGCAGAUAGAUUGGUACAUUGUAAUCUUCUGUGGACAUUCUUUACUCAAAAGCAAUUGUUUUAUCUUUCUUGGUACCUUUACGUAUUAUUAUUUCAAAAAAGUUAACAUUUACUGCUUCCUCCCUUCGCUCCCCCCAUCAUAGAUGGUUCAGCCACACCCGGUGCCACGAAAUGAUUGAGAACUAGGACGGGGUCGAAAUGCAUUUUAUUCUUAGUAUUAAAAAAGUAUUGCAUGACCGAAUAAUUCAAGGAGGGGCGCACGGCGGGGAGGGUCCUUUUUAGUAGAUGACUCGUCGGGCCGUCAGAGCAGGACUUCUUUGGUAAAAAUAACUUGAUUCUAUUCCUUUUUAGUAAGGAGGCGGCAUUUCCCAUAAACUGCCCUGGUGAAUCCCUUAUCUUGUUUGCAGCAUCAUUCUCGAUCCCCUUAUUCCCUUCCCAAGAAGGAAUCAUAUCCUAUGGCUAACUCAUCCUUAUAUGGCUCCCGGAUCCUUAAAGAGAAUCAAAGGCUAUCUCGAGGGAUGGUCAGAGAAUCGGUUUAUCUUCACGGCACUAGACAGCACCUUUAUGAGUGCGUAUAAGCUUGCUUUAGAGCUAGAGCGUGCAUCUAAAAUAGUUUCAUAUCCCUUUCCAUCGAUCUUUCUUAUUGCUGUAGUACCCAUUCCUGCUAGCUUGGUCUGGUGGCCUUCUCUUGGCCAGGACUAUAUAUAAUAGUUUAUUGAGUGCUUCUUAGGUUGGUUCUCUUGAAGUGCAUAGCCCGGCCCCUUUUCUCUUUCUUCCAACGGAAAGGGUUCUCUUCUCUUCUGGUAUGGAGUUCGACUAGAGCCUGCCGCUUUUCUAGGUUUGGGUGUGGGUUGAUCUCAUAUCUUAGAGGACAGGGCGGGGCUUAUUCCCAAGGUCAGGUCCCAUGCCGGUGGACUUGAAAUACGAAGAUCUUAAGCUAAGCUACGGGGCUAGGAAUAUACUCCAGGUUGGGAGAUCUGUCCUGCCAUCGGGCAUGCAAGAAGCUAUGUGCGCAGGGCAUCAGAGGCUUACUCAAAUGGAACAUACGAAUCCAACCUUGCUUGACUCUCUUUUUCAUACUUGCCCUCGGGAUCAGUGGUAGAUUCGUAAUGUUAUUACUCAUGGGUAGCAGAUGAUGGAUCCAUUUCUGUUGAAGUAGUGGAGUGAAGAGGAGGGUUGGGGCCCGCCUCACAACGAGCCCGGGUAGCUAGAUAGGUAGAUAGUAGAUAGCAGUCCGGAUAGUGAUAAAAUCUGAAAUAAUCUUCUUCUGGAUUGAAAGAAAGCCUGUGCCGGAAAUAGAGAGAGUUCUGCUCUUGGUUGACAUAGAUCGCUCUACUCUCGAAUUGACAUACAUAGAGUUGAAAACAUACUCCUCACAAAUGAUCAUAGUUCACUACUAAUGAGCGAGUAACUACUAACGUUACGAGCGAAAAGAUGAAUCUACUUGGUUCAUAUCAUAUGUUCCGCUCCGUUGACAGGUUCAUAUAUGUACCUGAUGUUCAUGGAAACAACAGGAUGAUAAUUCAUUGAUGGGAAACUCACUUUGCUAUGCUAGGAAACUGACUAAUGAAACUAACAAGUUCAAGUGCUCUAGUCAAGUAGUAAGCUCCAGUGGGAAGCGCUAGUCCAGAUAGAAAGAAUAGACAGGAGGAUUGCCAGGUUGGUCCGCACAGGUGCAUAUCUGUAGGUUUCAGCACGGGAUUCCAGAUCGUUGGUACCCGAUGUUCAGUUCAUGGGAAUGGGAAUGUAGGAAACUCUCUCUUUCGUCCAGAACAUAUAGAUAGAUUGAUUGCUGUAGCAGCAAGUCAACUAGAUCAAGUGAGGAAUGAGAACCUUUCCGGGGGCAAGGGGGGCGAAGCUACUAGCUACUAUUACUAUUGGCUAUGGAUGUCCUAACACGAAGAUCUUGGUCCCUUAUUUAUAGUUCUAGCAUUAACCGGUCUGGAAUUAGGUGUAGCUAUAUCACAAGCUCAUGUUUUUACGAUCUCAAUUUGUAUUUACUUGAAUGAUGCUACAAAUCUCCAUCAAAAUGAGUCAUUUCAUAAUUGAAUAAAAACGAGGAACCAAAGAUUCUAGGGGGCUAUAGCUGCGCUUUUGCAGCACUGAACAUGGUUCUGGGUACUCAAGAUAUUGCGUUUGUGUUUGGAGAGGUGUAGAUUAUAGAUUCCAGCCAAGAAGACCAGGAAAAGAUAAGGAUAAAGAAUGUCAUAUAUCUCAGGAGCUAGAUCACUUCCCGAUGAACAAGUAAGAAUUGCCUCAACAAAAAUGGAUGGAAUUGGACCGAAAACAGACCAUGAACAUGAGUUUGAAAUGUAAAAAAAGGAAGAGUGCAUUAUCCACUUUCUUAUCUCGAAAAUGCGUAAUCUAGUGAUGUCAUGUGUCUGUUUCUCUGAAAAGGUGGGUCGGCCCUUAGGGAAAACAGUAGUGCCAGGUUCCAUUGUGGAACGGUCUCUUUCUGUCUUCCAUUUGAAUUCCGUGAUUUAUCCUGCUAUUUGGAGAUUAGUUGAUAUGGUCUUUCUUGGGUUUGGCUUUCAAAGUGCAGUUCGAAAAGAGUGAGUUGUUGUCAAUGGCUGGAAUGGAAUAUAGUUGUUUUCCAUCAGACGGCUGUUCACGUAACUCCACUCUCGGCUUGGAUUAUAUAUCCAUUUGGUCCGCUCUCGGCCAUUCCACAUGCUGCCUAGCAGAGACAUGGUUAUCUGAAGUGGAUUCUCUCUUUUGUAGUAGAUGCCGAACCUGCUGCUCAGUGGGCGGGCACAACAGCUACAUGGACCCCUUUCUUUAUGUUGUUGCCAGCGCUUUCCCGGGCCGAGCCGGAAUUUUUUAUUAGGACGUUGGCAGGCAAAGCCCGAAGGAAGGCUGCUAUCCCCUCGACCUUCUUCCUUUUCGAUGAAAAACAAAUCGACAUCUCAAUCUCCGAAAGCAUUUUCCUUACCUAGCUAAUAUCCCCCCCUCCGUCGAGCCUUUCCUUUAGUGGUAAGGGAUAUGCACCUUAUCUGAACGUCGGCAGGCAUUCCGGAAUUCUCCUUUUUUGGCCCUGGGUGAACAUAGGCUCAAACAUGAUUGGAGGGGUCCUAGCUACGCCAUGCGUUCAAUAAAAAAAAGCAAGCCUCCGGGAAGCUGCAGGGAUUAUAAAAAGAGGGUGCUUUCUUGUGUUGCACUGAAAAAAGGACAAAGGAGAAGACGUUCUUUGACUUACUUUCUUCCUCCCGCGCCUGCCUAAGCUCGGCCCACAUUAGAGGGGAAGAUUAGCAAAGCGGAAAAAGAUAGAGGGAGGGGGAGCUGCAUCUUAUUCUCUUCGCGAGAACUUCAGGAUCGGAGAAGCAUUCGGAAGGGGCGAGGCCUUCAUUUCGUUGGCAGAAGCAGAAACGACCCAAUCCAUUCAGGGCUUCGGGGAACCCAAAAACGAACUCUGUUUAUCGUUUCAUAUAUGCGCUAGGAUAUAUAUAGUAUCCUAUCCCCCUCAAUCUCAGGAGUCGCUUUCUCUAUGCCCGACUUACGAGCUCUUUGCUUAUUAUUUAUCGGGUGGGAUGAAGGUCGAAAUGUCUAGUUUGAAUUGCUUAUGCUUAUAUAGUUUGAAUCGUCUAGCUUCAUGCCAAGGUUGUUCUACAAAAGAACCAAGUAAGAAAGUAAGCCCGUUCAAUUGAAAUAGCUUCCUCGCUUCGUAGUUCGAUACCCACUGAAACUAUGGAUACGAUAGACUCGGGAGGGGUAAAGGACACCUCGUUCCGCGAGAGACCUAUCCUCGUUUCGAAAUAAAGGACCAUAGUGAGGAUCGAUCCCGGAUAAGUGAUUCAGUGUAGGGACAGAGGCUGAUGAUUCUAAAGGUGAUUUCUAACUACAAGAUGACUUUACUUGAAAAUGGAAUCCAAAUAUCAACAAAAAGAUGAAUGGAAAGUCUUGUCGAUAUGAAUUGAUCUUCAACCCAAUGACAAUGCUUCGAUUCCAUAAAGAUAUGUGGCCAUGAAAAAGGGAGGGGAUUCAAUGGAACAGGAUUGGCCGGGCGGUAGAGUCGUGGAAACACUUGUUGAUUCCUAUUUUGGACCCUAGCUCCAUGGAACAAUAUUCUACUGCGGAAACAUGGAAGAAUUGCAAUCUUAGAUCAAAACACUAUGUGUGGAAAGCUUGAUAAGGGUCAGUUACUUGUACAUUUGAUUAGUAUGAGCCACUCACAUUGUUUUUUAAGGAUAGGUGGGAGUAGGACCCUACAAUAAAGAGCAGAUAGCCCACAUGAAUCAUGGGAAUAACAAUACGAGGCCUUUGACGAGUAAAGGAGAAAUGCAAGAUUUGGAUCCGCAAUUUCAACAAGUAGUUCGUGCUUCGUCGGCAGGGGAGACUAUACGCCAUGAAAACCCACCCCUGGUAUCUCCACCUAUGGAUUGAGAGUCAAAAAGUGUGAAUUUCGUAUGUCCCGCUGGCACACGAUUUUGAUUACUUUUCUUGUUUCCCGUUUCAGAGAUCCGAUAAUGGAAUGCUAAAUCGAUAUCUAGGGUCGAGCCAGGGUACUUAUCCUCCCGUCUAUAAAUCAAUCACCAAUAAAAGACCAAAGUGGUGAUAAGUCAAGGGGCAGACAGGAGCAGCAUCGUAGCUAGGAACAGGUGCUGCACCGUAGCUAGUAGGAAGAAGUACAACAUAGCUACAUUCCCCAUAGGGUUGGCGCCCCUCCUCUCCAAUACAAAUUGAAUCAUAGCAAGGGCUAAGCUAUCUUAAAACCUACUAUCAAUCUGUUUAUAGAACUCAAUACUACUAUCCAUGAGAUCAUCAUAACAAAAACUAGAAUUGCCCAGCGAAAUAGGAAUAGAAAUAAAUCCAGGGUAACUUGUAUCAUGAGAUGGGUCCAUUCCAAUUGGAAUUCCGUAUGCCUUGGUUUAAGAGAGGAGCUCAGGUCCAUCUUGUGCUCACAAUACAUCUUAUUUAGCAGGGCCUCUGGGAUCUUUAGAGAAAGGCGAAGUCUCUACUUGUUAACCAUGGAUGCCUGUUAUAUUUACUUAUAGAGUGAAGAACAAGCCCACUUUCCAUAUCCCUUUCGUCCGGAUGAUCGAUUGCCUCAUUCUUCUUCGAAAAUAAGUGCAUUUGGCCAUUGUGUUUUUCCAACUUUCGUAAUAGAUCUGGGCAUGCAUGGUUUUCAAUAGAUAACCCUAGGCCUUCUUCGUUUCCCCACGGGCAUUCACUUCUCUUCAAGCUCGGGAUUAGCGAAACAUGGAUCCGACGNNNNNNNNNNNNNNNNNNNNNNNNNNNNNNNNNNNNNNNNNNNNNNNNNNNNNNNNNNNNNNNNNNNNNNNNNNNNNNNNNNNNNNNNNNNNNNNNNNNNNNNNNNNNNNNNNNNNNNNNNNNNNNNNNNNNNNNNNNNNNNNNNNNNNNNNNNNNNNNNNNNNNNNNNNNNNNNNNNNNNNNNNNNNNNNNNNNNNNNNNNNNNNNNNNNNNNNNNNNNNNNNNNNNNNNNNNNNNNNNNNNNNNNNNNNNNNNNNNNNNNNNNNNNNNNNNNNNNNNNNNNNNNNNNNNNNNNNNNNNNNNNNNNNNNNNNNNNNGCACUAACAAGGCUCAUGCGUAAAGGGAUGCCACCUCUAAGGGUGCAAACUUUACAACAGGAAAGGAACAGAUUUGGGAUCUUACCCUUGUCGAGACCGGUCGCCCAGGGCGCUUAGGCAAGGUACCAAUGCCAGAGGUACCGAUCUAAGCUUUCCCUAUUAAAGAGAAUUCCUCCUAACGUCGGAAACUCUAUUUAUUUGGGAUCGGUUCAUUUACCGACAUCCUCUCGGCUAUCAUACGUCCUCCGCUUAUCUCUCUUAGGCAUAGGCAUCUCAACACAUUCCUCCUUCCGAGUUGCUUGUCCGAACUUGGCUCUUUAGUAAAACGAAGGAGCUGCUAAGCUAUUAUUAGGUAUCAAUUUAGGAGCCUUUUGUCAUUUCCAACUACAUUAUUGUGAGCAUUCGGAACCCGUUCCUACGCGGUCAUCAAAUUGGCUGGCUUUGGACCCUCGAUCGCAGCACCACCAGAUCUUCAACAAGGUGGAAAUUCUCAUAUUUCGUAUGUACAUGUUCCUGCGGCUCGGAUGAGUCAUCAGGCAUAAAUUACACAAAGAUUGGCCAUGACUUAAGGACUAAAUAAUCUAAACAUGUUUGUUUUUGUGGAUCCUGAAUAAAAGGAGAUGCAGUGGAUUUCCCUCGGUCAAUAAACAACUGGAACUUAGCACAGGUACAUAUAAAAUAGAAAGGAGCAAAGGAUGCAGCAUAUCAUUCUAUUGCAGUAUUACACUACUUCUGGAACAACAUAAUUAAUAAAUUCAGCUUGCAUGCUUGUUUCAUGACAUCUCCUGACAAGUAUGGCACUUGCUUACAAGACUGCUACUGAAAAAGGCUACCUCUUCAAACUGCUGAAUGCCCUAUUCCAUCUAUCUUUCCCUGAAAAAGCAUAUACUUUUGUUCUAUAAGCAAAUAAAGCAUACUUCUUUUGCGGAUCAAGCAGUAUUCUACCUUGGUGGGUAUAGGAACUUGCUGCUGUCUUGGUUGGUUUGAGAGCAGGCACUGUCUAUAUAUCCAAAACUAGAGGAUAGUUCGGGUUUGGAUCACAGACGAUCGGAGAUUUUGGAUUGAGAUGGAUGGUUGUGCUUGAAGUUAUGAGUCGGGUAAUGCUAAGUUGAAUCGGCUGAUCCGUUUCAUCCUCUUUCGGCAAAGGAAGUUGGACUUUAGUUACCUAAAAAAAAGUACCAGCAGCCUGUCUGUGCCCUUUGAGUCUAUAGCCGCCAAAUCUAAAGAUUCCUUAAGUUGUCGUACGGCUUCUUUUUCUUCUUUUGUCAAUGAUCGGUGACAAUGAAUGCUACGAAUGUUCGCUUCCACUAAUGUUGUAUAAUAAUUGUGAGGUGCCCAUAGCUUCCCGGAAAGAAGAAGAGUCAUUGUCGUUUCCUGACCGAUAUGAAUGCACAUAUUGACCCUCGCCUCGGGAAAUACCACCAGUAGAGUCUGCAGAAGGUGUCGUUCAGGAGAUAUGCUGGGCUCUAGAUAUGCGAGUGAGAUACCCGCCCUCGGUCAAAAAAGAGAGUGCUAAAGGAGUCAUUCAGAAGUGAGUCAAGGGGCAAAGCUCAUUUCUUUCAUUCAGGAAUGGACACUAUACCAGAAUGAAAUGUGGGAAUAUCGGGAUUGGCAGAUUUUUUGUAUUAAACUAAAAAAACUCAACACGACUAGUGAAUUCAAAUUAGAGUCACUUGCGGAUUUCUUCAAAUUGUUGUAGUGUAGUAUUGUGGUUUUUCAGUAAAGACCCCGACCUAUAAAUAUUCACAGCCCGGCUCAUACGGGCGGACAAUAUUCACCCAGAGCCCCUUUGCGACCGCAAUGCUGUUCUUGAAGGACCUUACCUUAGAGCAAAAAAAAGGCAUAGAAGUUAGGAAGACUACUGACGUAGGGCGGCGGGUGAGCUCAACCUCGAACCAAACAAGCAACGGAUUGAGCAACUAGCGCGAAAGCUGUUGCGUGUUAGCGCAUCCGUUUUCUUGCUCCAUCGUUAUUAGUUUCUAUUCUCUCCCUGCACGAACCUCGGUCCAAUCAAUUUGUUUGGAAUUGGGGUUAGGACCGGUUAGAACUCCCAUUUCCCGAUCGGAGGUUUGAGCUGCUAUGGCAAGCUUUUUUUCCGAUUAGUGGGUAUGGGGAAUCCACCGUACCAACACGAUUGGCUGGUGUUGCUGAUACCGGACCCGUUAUAACCCCGAUUGGAAGGGCAGGCCAGUCUGACGCUCUGGGGAUGCGAGGCCAUUGAAAGUGAGUAUCCCAUAUUCUAUGACGGAGAUAGAUCAUUAAUUGCAGUUUUCACCCCACCUUAACGACCGAGCGAGGGAUGAAAUCUUUCGACGACUAGGGAGGCAUCACCCGAGGCCGAUUCCAGUGGAUCACUAUAGAAUCUUCUAGAAGCAGGUUCUCCGGGCACUAUGGUAGGACGUGGAUCGAUCAUGACGAGAAUGGACUUCUCCGUCAUGUAAUGGUUUAGAAGAGUCACGGUCAAUCUUUAUAUCCUUUCUGGCAUAGUUUUGUAAAAGAUCAGCAGGUGAUACGUCCUUUCUCCUCUGUCGUGGUUCAUGCAUUCUUCCUUUUUAGAAAGCGGAUAGGGAUCAGGUGAAUUAGAGAAUAGACAGACGUCCGUUGGCAUUUCAGCCUUUCUUCUCCUUUUAGGGCCUAUCCGAAAGAGAAUCCAGUACCUCUUGGUCCUAAAUAUCAGAAUAGGACGCGCAACAAUGGAACAACAAGAGCAAGACCGCUCCAAACUAAAUCACAGUAGAGGUUAUGGCCUCUCAGGCUGGACCAAAACAGCAAGCGGAAGGUCUCCGAAAGUCCUACAUUAGCACCAAGCCAUCCCCCAAGGGAGGGUAUAACGGAGUGUGGUAAAAUCCAUUUGCUAAUGCUCCUGGUUGUGGGUUCUUCACAAUUAGCAUGUUCGAUUCAAAGGAUUUCCACUUGAGUAAAGCUAUGGUGGGAAAUAAACUACCAAUUAGGCAAUGCGCGUCUCUAUUUCUUGAAUUCUCUGGUCUAGGCAACCCGAAAGCGUACCAGUAGUUUAUUUAAUGAACUAUAUACCAGCCUUGAAACUAAAGAGCUAUAAAGUAAUAAUUGGUGGGUUGUGAUAUCAGUAGGACAUAUCACAAUACAUUCAUCUAAUGCUAUCAGAAUUGUAGUCCUCGUAUGUACAUCUUCCAUAUUGUGAUAAAGCACCUAUGCCGCUAGAAAUAGUAGCGCCUUAAAGAAGGCGUUCCAGGUUCUUUUUCCCCUAGUUUGUAUCAGAGCUGACCACUGAUAAUAGGCAAAAUGAAACAUUUGGUGUGUUUUAGUUCAUUCUCAAUCUUGUUUCCCCUUGCGCUCCGAGGGAAAUAAAGGGGAAAUCACUGAUUCAUUUAGAGCUGUUUUCUAACUGACUCAUUGACAUGAGAGAUUGGAUGCGAUGCGCCAGUCACUCGUACUACAGCGGACAAAGGCCACCGGCAAACGACCGUUCCACAAUGGAACCUGGCACUACUAUUUGCCCUAAGGGCCGACCCACCUUUUUAGAGAAACAGACACAUGACAUCACUAUAUUACACAUUUUCGAGGUAAGAAAGUGGAGAAUGCACUCUUCCCUUUUUUUACAUUUUAAACUCAUGUUCAUGGUCUGUUUUAUUCCCAAUUGUUGCCCGUGUGAAAAGAAAGAAGAGAAAUUGGGCCAUGUUUCCCGAGAGAGACUGACUUCUCUCAGGCCAGCAGUCUUAUACUUAUAGUCGACUGCUCUAUGACGAUCUAACCUCUUUCCUGGGCUAUGCUUGCUCGUCUACGCUCCGACCAAUUCAGUCAAAAUCGAAAAAACGAUGUUUCCUUGAAGAAGUCUAAGAAAUAGUAGUAGUAGCCAAAAAGUGCACUUUUUCCAUAUAUUUCAAUUACCGUUGAGGUCCUUAGUUUAGUCAAGUAGGCGAGGGCAUUUCCAUCGCGAAGGAUUCAAUCCAGCCGCAGGUUCCCCUACGGCUACCUUGUUACGACUUCACCCCAGUCGAAGACCCCACCGUGGUAUGCGCCAAUAAGACCACCAAAGGCUAGCUGUACACAGAAGUCACGGGUGGUCAUUGGUCCGAUGCUUCGGGCGAAACCAAUUCCCAGGGUGUGACGGGCGGUGUGUGUCGGAUUUAGGGUUCUGGCAGACCCUUGAGGUUCGAACACUGGGGUGCGCGCGGAGGUUUCGCCUUCUACCUACCUGUUCCUCGCCGAAUCGCUAGGAUCUAAACUACGAGAAGAACAACACAAGAGACACAGGGUUUAUACUGGUUCAGGCCACCAUUAUGGUGUAAUACCCUACUCCAGUGUGUGGCGUGGUGGAUUGCCUCUUGGGUUGAUGAUGAACAAUACAAGGAAGAACAGCCUCGCAAGGGUCUGUUCUUGUGGUGGCGUUGUCCCUUUGGAGGGGUUGAUUCUAGAUGCCUAUCUUAUCUCCUGAUUCCUAUCCAGAUGCCUCUACCCUGCGGGUGGCUAGUCCUAUUUAUAGGCGAAGGCCCUGGGCCUCUUCCCAAAUAUUGAGCGGGAAGGGCGCCAACAAUUGGCCAAUUUGAAGGGGAACAUCUAGUACACUUAUCCUGACUAAAGUUGGUCCUCGCCUGUCAAAGGCUCUGGUGGUGACGCCGACUUGGGCUCCACGGUGACCUCCAUCCUACCGUUGGACUGGUCUUGGUCUUGUUGCACCGAAAUGGAUGCCUUUGCUUGAUGCUCUCGCCUGCGCUUGCUCCCCUUGCACCAAAGAGGAAAGAAGGACACUGCGCGGGCUGGCGCCCGGCUGGAGCCCUUGGUCGUCAUGGCUUGCAUCAUGGGCACCUCGUGAGGUACCCCGCCUUGAACUCUCCGCCUCCUCGUGAGCCAGCCUGACGAGGCCGUGCCUGAGGAAGCUCCUUGUCGUCCGCCCCGCAAGGCUUGGCCCCUCGCGAGGGUCUUGAGCUUGUGUUGAUGAAGAUGGGCCGUGCUGGGCCCCCUUUGAGCCACGCCCCAGGCCGCAGGCAGGCAAGUCUAGGGACCCCCGUUCCCGGAAUGCCGACAGUAGCCCCCGGGCCCAAUGCGCGCCCGGACUUGGCUGAGCAGAGAGGCGAAAGGGCAAGUGUGAAGCGUCGCGGGCCCUAACAGCCUGCGGCCUUGGGCGCCGCGUGGCGGUUGAUUGGACGUGGGCGCCUCCACAACCGCGCGAGUUGAUAAGGAGCGGCAUCUAUCCUCUGCCUCCUUUGCUCUCUCCAGUUGCUGCUCAGAUCCCCUUUCUUGCGCCUCUCCUUCCUUCCUUCGAAAUCUCCAGAUCUACUCCACCCGUGCGCCCUAGCCUGACAUGGCGCCUCGCCAGGCCCCGGCCGGAGCUUGGUAUUCGUCCGCCUUGGACUCGCCGAACGUGUCGGAGGCGAGCCUUGCCCGAGUGCGCCAGAUGGCAGCAGCGCAGGGCGUCGACGGGGCGAAGGUGUUUAAGGCCGGCUCUGCCCUCCCUGAGGGCCAAGGGAGCACCUUCUAUUCGCUCUUCGUGAGCGCCAUUGUCGCCGGUCUGGUGCAUCCCUUCUCCGAGUUCUUCUUUUCUCUCCUCUGCCAUUACAACCUUCAAGCUCUGCACCUCCACCCCAACUCUAUCCUCCUUCUGGCAAUCUUCGCCUACUAUUGCGAGGCUCACGUGGGGGUGAAGCCCUUAGUGGCCCUGCUGCGCCACUACUUCUCCCUCCAGACCUCUCGUGGUUCUGUCUCUGCGUGUGUGAGCUUCUUCGGGUACGGCAGCUCCAUCGCCAUUUCGAAUCCCGGGAAAAGGAUUGAGGGCUUCAGGAGCAAGUGGGUCUUGGUUGAUGCUGGGCGUGUCCACCCCCGGCUGGUCUUGCCCACGGGGCACCCCUCGAGCUCCGACGACUGGUCUCGAGUCGAGCUGGUGGAUCCCCGCGCAAGGCUGGUGUUGGAGAAGAUGGAUGCGGAUCUGAGGCCGGCCAGCAUGGCGGCGGCAAAGCUGACUAGCGCCUCACUGCUGAGGGAGUUCCCAGAGCAUCAGCUGGCUCUGCUUCAUCAGUACUUGCUUCCGAUGUGGAGGCCCCACCCGAGCCCCGCGGUCCUGGCCGAUGAGGAUCUGGCCGCGGACCUCCAGUCUUUGGUUGGGGGCGACGUGGCAAGGUUGGAGGGCGCUCCGACGCCCCUGUUCCUUCGCGAGGACUGGGAGCAGGUUGUGGGGUCCAUGCCCGUCUUCAACGAGGACGUGCCUGUGCCCGCGGAGGCUCCUGAGGACCAGGUGGACGUAUCCUCCGGCGACUCCAGCGAAGAGAGGGAGGAAGGGGAGCAGGAAAAGGGGGCUGACUCUGAGGCAGAGUCAAGGGCUCCACCUCUUCGGUGCAAGUCCCGCGCUCUUCGCCUUCCUCUGAGUGACGAUGACGAGGGUGAUGACGAGCAGGGCGGCGGGAGCCUGCCGCUGGUCCCGAAGAAGGACCGGACUGGGCUGACCCCCCGCGGGUACGCCCCAGCCCCGAGGCGAUCCGCAGGCGCCCCAGCUGCACCCGUGCUCCUUGAGGCUAAUCCUUGCAACCGGCUCUCGGGCUUCAAGUACGGCGGCAGGCUGCUCGAGCCCGCGGGCAACGACCUAUAAGUGCUUGAUCCCUGUCUUGUUUUUUGUUUCGUCGCUGAGGCUUGACGUCCGUAUCGCCCGGCUAGGCUGGCGCCCACAACAAAGAAGCCGAAGGGGGAUCCUGAGACUCCAUCCGCGGUAGCGCCUCUGCUCGCGAAAGAACAUGAACGUGACGCGCGGGCCUCUCCUGCCCAGGCAUCCCUGCGAGGCCCUGCCGAGCCGGCUGGGGCGAGCUCGGCUCCUGUGGCCCUGGCGACUGCCGAGGCACCCCCGCUUGACGGCGCCACCACAGCCACUGGGGCGCAGCAGGCUCCGCCUCAGGACACCGUGGUCACGCUGCCGUCUUCUCCUCCUACCCCGCCGACUGCUGCUUCCCCGUCCCCUCCUACUGUCCUGGAUCGUGCUGCUGCCGAACUGGACCGUCUGCGGCGGGAUCUUCUGAGCGCCGACCCUCGUUUGGUGGUCGGGCGCUUGGAGCUAGCCUCUGGCUGGAUUUGCUCCGAUGCUUCGAUUCGGGCGGUGCUGGUCCAGGCUUCGACGGCCUGCGACGAGGAGAAGCAGGCUGUCCUUGGGGCGAAGGUUGCCCGCGAAGCCGCCUUGCGGGAGGCGGCUAAUGCCCGAGGUCGUUGCGAGGUGCUGGAGGGCGAGCUGAAGGGCCUGCAGGACCGGCUCGCCGAGGAGACUCAGCUUCGCCUAGAGUAGGAGGACGGCAUGAAGGCUCGCAAGGCGACCGUCAAGGACUGGGACGCCAAGCUCAAGAAGCGCCAUGACCGCCUAGGCGCGCUGGAGCGAGAGCUGGAGGCGAGGAAGGUUGAGUUGGACGGCAAGGCACGGGUUCUCGCCGAGGAUCGUGUGGCCUUUGCGGAGAUGGAGGAGAAGGCCCACACUUCACUAAAGACGCUCUAUGAGAGCGGCCUGGAGAGCCCGUUGGCCGGCGAGGAGGACGGCCCCGCCAAGCUUCUUCCUUUCCUGGUUCGUGCCCUUGAAGAUGUCGCCCUUGGCCUUGGCCCUACGGCUGAGGCCGAGGCACGCGUCUUGUCUUCUGCGGCGCUGACGCGGGUCUUCACCCACAUCUAUCUUCGCGACCCCAACAUCAACCUCAACGGCCUGCUGGAGCCAGCGAGUGGCGAGCAUGCCGCUGUCGCUGCUGAGGCCGUGAAGGGUCGUGCGGAGGUUCUGCUGGGGAAGUUCCGGGCCUUCAGCACCAGGCCGAAGCAGAGCGCUGCCAGCCCGGCAGCUCCACAAGGCGAACCCGCUCCGUGCAACUCCAUGGCCGGCAAGUGACUCCGUUGUGGCUCCCGUCCUGCUUUUAGUUUCUGCACAUGUAUCAGGCCUCUGGGAGGCGUUAAAACUUGCAUUUGGUGUUGUGAUAAUAGUAUGGACUGUAAUAUUUGCUUUUGAAUUCCUUGAAAUUUGUGCUAUUUCCUUCCUACUUGAUUGUGUCCUACGCCGGCAGAGCCCGGCCCCGCGCAUACCUCAGCCGCCGUUAGCCCCAAUCGGAAACCAGGACGGGACCAAGGAGUGAGGGGCUACGUGACAAGUUAGGCUCCUGAGUCACGAUGCUCAGGAGUCCCCCUUGGCGCUCGAACAGCAAGUAGGGAGGUGAGAUGUGGGGGUGGAUCUACCGUUCUACGUCUGCAGAGCCCGGCCCCGCGCAUACCUCAACCGUCAUUAGCCCCGACCGGAAACCAGGACGGGACCAAGGAGUGAGGGGCUACGUGACCAGUUAGGCUCCUGAGUCACGAUGCUCAGGGGUCUCCCUUGACGCUCAAACGGCCUUCAUACCUUGGCUCCGCUCGGGGAGGGACGCGCGACGAACCAGGCCCGGGGGGCCUGGCUGGGUGGCGUGCGUCUGGGCGUGACCCAGGCGUAGCCCCCGUGCCCAGCCCCCUCGCGCGGCACCCCCAAGGGGAGGCAUUGCGAUGAGGCUAGACACUGAGCUCUGGGCUCCCUGAGGUUGAUGCAGCCCGGGGGCCACCCUCAGUUGUUUAUCACCAGCGCGGAGCAUAGCGCUUCCGUAUGCGUACGGGCAUAGCCGCUCCUCGGCAGUCUCAUCAGCCAGCGCAGAGUAUGGUGCUUACACUGGUGCAUGGGAGGGGGCUCCGCUCCGGGAGGAGCCCCCGGGGCGUGUACAGCCCCACCCUGACACGUGGAUGGCACGGUAGGGCUUGACGAGGUGUAUCUGGGCACCCAUGAGCCAGCGCGGGACUCACGGGGACCUACCUCAAGGCGGAUUGCGCCUGGCUCUGGGCCUUAUCUUGGAGUGUGUUCCUGCAAAUUUGGCUAGAUGCCGAUGCUCUACGUCCUCGGGUCCCGGCUCUCGGGCUGGUCUCAGCCGUCGCUGGCAUGCCGAGGCGUGAUGCCGUGGGCAGACCAGAGGGUGAGGGCCGGAGAGCCGAUAGGAGCCCUGAGUCGCGAUGCUCAGGCACCCCCCUUUAACGCGCAAGUUGGGUUAGAUGUCGAAACUCUAUGUCCUCGGGUCCCGGCUCUCGGGCUGGUCUCAGCCGUCACUGGUAUGCCGGGGCGCGAUGCCGUGGGCAGACCAGAGGGUGAGGGCCGGAGAGCCGGUAGGAGCCCUGAGUNNNNNNNNNNNNNNNNNNNNNNNNNNNNNNNNNNNNNNNNNNNNNNNNNNNNNNNNNNNNNNNNNNNNNNNNNNNNNNNNNNNNNNNNNNNNNNNNNNNNNNNNNNNNNNNNNNNNNNNNNNNNNNNNNNNNNNNNNNNNNNNNNNNNNNNNNNNNNNNNNNNNNNNNNNNNNNNNNNNNNNNNNNNNNNNNNNNNNNNNNNNNNNNNNNNNNNNNNNNNNNNNNNNNNNNNNNNNNNNNNNNNNNNNNNNNNNNNNNNNNNNNNNNNNNNNNNNNNNNNNNNNNNNNNNNNNNNNNNNNNNNNNNNNNNNNNNNNNNNNNNNNNNNNNNNNNNNNNNNNNNNNNNNNNNNNNNNNNNNNNNNNNNNCGAUGCUCAGGCACCCCCCUUUAACGCGCAAGUUGGGUUAGAUGUCAAAACUCUACGUCCUCGGGUCCCGGCUCUCGGGCUGGUCUCAGCCGUCACUGGUAUGCCGGAGCGCGAUGCCGUGGGCAGACCAGAGGGUGAGGGCCGGAGAGCCGGUAGGAGCCCUGAGUCGCGAUGCUCAGGCACCCCCCCUUUAACGCGCAAGCUGGGUUAGAUGUCAAAACUCUACAUCCUCGGGUCCCGGCUCUCGGGCUGGUCUCAGCCGUCGCUGGCAUGCCGGGGCGCGAUGCCGUGGGCAGACCAGAGGGUGAGGGCCGGAGAGCCGGUAGGAGCCCUGAGUCGUGAUGCUCAGGCACCCCCCCUUUAACGCGUAAGCUUGCGACAUCCAAGAAGAAAAAGGUACCAUGAACAGGCACCAAACAACAAGCAUGACGGGUCGAAAACAUGGCCCUAAGAUAAAUGCAAGAGGGGUACAUGCCACUGGGUCUGACCCGAGCGGCUUGGGGAUAAUGCAGCCCGAGGGGCGCCCCCAGCAGAGUGAGCUAAGAACAUGAAAUAAAAGAGAUACACGCCAUAGGGACGGACCCACGCGGCCUGGGAAUAAUGCAGCCGUGAGGGCGCUCCCAGCUGGAAAUGAAACUAGAAAGAUGUCACCUGAUGACGCUGAAGACGAAGGGGUGUUGAUGCAGCAGACUCGGUGGGCUAUGGGGGCGGAUCCUCACGAGCCCCCAGGCCCUGGGGCCUCGGGAGGCUCCGGAGGCACUGGUGGCUCCUUGCGGACCGUCUCCAUCUCCACCAGGGCUGCGGAACGCCUGACCUCUUGAGCCUCCAGGAUGGCCCUCAUGAUGCGCUGGUACGCAGCAGACGUGUUCGGCGAGCCGUAAGGCAUGCGAACGUAGAUGUGGGGCGGGCCCUCGCAGCGUCCCGCUCGUGAAGGCCAGAGGCGCUCCUGAGACGCGGCUUGGUUGAGCCCUGGUAUGUCGAUGCAGACAUGCAGCCCACCAUCCUCGCCUGGAUGGGGGGCCACGGCGGGUAAGCGGCGGCUGCCUCUCAUGACCCUUGACUCCUGUAGCUCCUGAAUGGCCUUGCUGACGAACUCUUGAGGGUUUGGCCCUCCUUGCCUUGCUCCCUCUUGAUGGAAACGUGCUUCGAAGCACGCCUCCACGUGGUGCCCAAGCGCCUCCCUCAUGACCUUGGCGAGGUCGACGGCCCUCCAGGGGAGAGCCCCCGAGCCCUGCCUGAGGAGGGUGCCGGGCGGGCUAUGCGAUGGAAGGAGGUUCCCCUUGAGAAGGCGCGGGUCCUGAUGGACCUUCCUCCUGAGGGGCCAGGCCGGCCGAUGUCUUCCUCUUCUUGGGGGCAGCCUCGGGAAGCCUCCUGCUUCCGCGAUCCGGGUCUUCCAAUGAUGCGGCCUGAAAGGCUCUCUCCAGGGAGCAAACUGCGUCUCUCUCUUCGCAGGGCACCGUGAUGACUCUGCCACUUCCUGGCAUCUUGAGGACGUUGCAGCCGUGGUGGGUUACGGCCAUUAACUUGGCCAGCGCUGGGUACCCGAGGAUGGCGUUGUACGGCAGGCGAAUGUGGGCGACGUCGAAGUCGAUGAGCUCGGUCCGGUAGUUGUCGCGUGCCCCGAAGGUGACAGGGAGGCGGACCUGCCCAAUCGGGACCGUGGAGCCGUCGGUGACUCCAGAGAAAGGCUUGGUUGGCUGAAGCUGACUGUAGGGUACUUGGAGAUUGUUGAAUGUUUCCACGGACAGGACAUUGAGCCCUGCUCCGCCAUCGAUGAGGGUCCUGCUGACUAGCACAUUGCUGAUGAUUGGGGAACAAAGCAUCGGGAGGACUCCGGCUGUGGCCGCGCACUUGAGCUGAUCCGCUGAGCUGAAUGUGAUGGCACACGCCGACCACCUGAGAGGGCGCGGGGCCUCGAGCUUGGGGAGGACUGCAUUCACUUAUCAGGCGAAAUGCGCUGAGAUGCUGGGGCUUGAGCUCCGCCUAGGAUGCAGGCGAUCGCACGUGGUUCCUGGAAGCCCCCACCCCCCUCGUCCGGAUGACGGUCCUCAUUUCUCCUUGGCUACGGCGGUAGCGGAGGGAGGCCUGCGUUACCUUGCAGGCGAUCCUCGCGAGGCUGAUCCCUCCAGCCUCCCUCACGAGGCGGGUCCUGCAAGCGAUCCUUGCAAGGUUGGUCGCGCCACCCUUGACGUGGGCCGCGGUCUUCCCAGCGUCCUGUGUUCCUUCCUCCUCCUCGUCCGUAGCCCCGGUCGCUGCGGUCGGGAUGCCGGCCAUUCCGUCCUUCACGCACGGCCCGGAGCUCUUGGCAUUCAUUGGUGUUAUGGGUGUGGAGGUCGUGGUACACGCAGUACCGACUGCCCUUGGAGGAUUCGGGCUGAUCUCUGCCCCGCUUGGUGUCUGGUUCUGCCGCGAGCACGGCAGCCCCCUUGCGCUUCACAUCCUUGGCCUUGGGCUUCUUCUCUUCAGGGUCUGCGGCAGGCAAUUCGAGGAGGGAGAGACGCCCUUCCUCAGCCCUCGCGCACUUGGUCGCCAGGUUGAACAGCUCCAAGGAAGUGCAAAGAUCUUCAUGCAUUGCAAGCUCCUCCUUCAUUUUGAUGUCACGCACGCCGUCAGAGAAGGCUGAGAUGAUGGCCUCCUCGGUCACCUUGGGAAUCUUGAGGCGCGCGUUGUUGAAGCGCUGGAUGUACUUCUGCAGGGUUUCCCCUGGUUGCUGCUUGAUGCGGCGCAUGUCGCUCACGGUAGGUGGCCGGUCACAGGUACCUUGGAAGUUGCGAUGAAGCGGGUGCGCAUCUCGUCCCAGGAGGAGAUCGUGCCUGGGGCCAGGUUCAGAAGCCAGGUGCGGCCCCGUCCUUGAGAGCCAUGGGAAACCAGUUCGCCAUGACCUUCUCGUCUCCGUUGGCAGCCUCGAUGCCCAGCUCAUAGAGCUGGAGGAACUCUGCAGGGUCAGCCGUGCCAUCGUAGCGAGGAGGCAGGUCUGGCUUGAACUUGCCGGGCCACGCGAUGGUGCGUAGCUCGGUGGUGAAGGCGCAGCAGCCCGCUGUGGCCACCGGAGGCCUUGGAGGACGAAGGGCUCGAUCCUGCGGGUCCCUGUGCGCCGCAGCUAGGUGCAGCGCGGGGUCUUGAUGUGCUGGAGCAGGGGCGUGGUCGGGACGAGUCGGAGCAGGGAGCGCUCGGGCAGCUUCUCGAGGGCGAGGGACCUCUUGGCAGCUCUGCUCCUGCCGUGCUGGUUCCUGACAGGGCGGGUUCCGCCCAGGGGCCACGCGCCUUGGAGCCAGGGCGCCUUCUUGAGGGGGAGGCAGUUGAGGCGCCCCAGGAGCUUCAUUGCCCGUGCAUGGCGGGGCGCGGUGCAGCGAGAAAGAUGGCGCGGGGGAGCCCCCAACGGCGCGGACGAGCUCGGCGACUCGGUCGAGCCAUUCUUCGUAGACGUCUUCGACGGGGCGGUAGCGCAGGAGCUCAUUUGCCGUGAUGAGCGCAGCUCGAGCCUCCAUGGCCGCACGGGGCGCGCGGGACGAAGAACCAGCAGGGGUGAGCAAGGGCAUAGCGGUGCGGCCGUCUCGCCUCAUGGACGGGUGCUGGGACGAUGCUUGCUGCUCGUUCCCCGCCGGGCCGGUGGCGGCGUUGACGGUAGGCGACGAGGAACGGUGAGGGCGCCUGCCGACGGGAGCCAUCUGGGCGACGCGGGAAGCGAGGGCGGCUCGGCGCUCGGCGCGAACCCGGCGUGCGUUAGACAUGGUCGCGACGGUCGGAGAAGAACAGGGAGACGGAAGACGAAUUCCGGAGCACCCCUACCUGGCGCGCCAAAUGUCGGAUUUAGGGUUCCGGCAGACCCUUGAGGUUCGAACACUGGGGUGCGCGCGGAGGUUUCGCCUUCUACCUACCUGUUCCUCGCCGAAUCACUAGGAUCUAAACUACGAGAAGAACAACACAAGAGACACAGGGUUUAUACUGGUUCAGGCCACCAUUGUGGUGUAAUACCCUACUCCAGUGUGUGGCAUGAUGGAUUGCCUCUUGGGCUGAUGAUGAACAAUAUAAGGAAGAACAGCCUCGCGAGGGUCUGUUCUUGUGGUGGCGUUGUCCCUUUGGAGGGGUUGAUUCUAGAUGCCUAUCUUAUCUCCUGAUUCCUAUCCAUAUGCCUCUACCCUGCGGGUGGCUAGUCCUAUUUAUAGGCGAAGGCCCUGGGCCUCUUCCCAAAUAUUGAGCGGGAAGGGCGCCAACAAUUGGCCAAUUUGAAGGGGAACAUCUAGUACACUUAUCCUGACUAAAGUUGGUCCUCGCCUGUCAAAGGCUCUGGUGGUGACGCCGACUUGGGCUCCACGAUGACCUCCAUCCUGCUGUUGGACUGGUCUUGGUCUUGUUGCAUCGAAAUGGAUGCCUUUGCUUGAUGCUCUCGCCUGCGCUUGCUCCCCUUGCACCAAAAGAGGAAAGAAGGACACUGCGCGGGCUGGCGCCCGGCUGGCGCCCUUGGUCGUCAUGUCUUGCGUCAUGGGCACCUCGCGAGGUACCCCGCCUUGAACUCUCCGCCUCCUUGUGAGCCAGCCUGACGAGGCCGUGCCUGAGGAAGCUCCUUGUCGUCCGCCCCGCGAGGCUUGGACCCUCGCGAGGGUCUUGAGCUUGUGUUGAUGAAGAUGGGCCGUGCUGGGCCCCCUUUGAGCCACGCCACAGGCCGCAGGCAGGCAAGUCUGGGGACCCCCGUUCCCAAAACACCGACAGUGUGUAUAGGGCCCGAGUACAUAUUCACCGCGACAUGUUGAUCCGCGAUUACUAGCAAUUUCAACUUCAUGUUCCCGAGUUGCAGAGAACAAUCCGAACUGAGGCAAUCUUUCCGGAUUCGCUCCGCCUUACAGCCUUGCUUCCCAUUGUCAUUGCCAUUGUAGCACGUGUGUGGCCCAGCCCAUAAGGGCCAUGCGGACUUGACUUCAUCCCCACCUUCCUCCAGUAUCUCACUGGCAGUCCCUCGUGAGUGCGGCACGCACCUUUUUCUUUGUUUCGGAGCGGGGCGCGUACUAUUACCACUACGUUCCACACCAUUUUCUAGCCUUCAUGCCGAGUCUUCCUCCGCCGCCAACUCAACAUCGUCGUAACCAAUUUCAACCAAACCUCCAUGCUCACUGGUACUUUGACGUCACUAUAGGUAGGUCUCCGUGGGUCUUGGGCAAGACGACUUUGGUUCACACGUGAAAGUGCUUCGAAAGGCACCGGCUCCCAAUGGUGAAAUUCUUGCUGAAAGCACAGCUACGUGCUGGCACUCAAUCAAGUAGUAGCGCUGGCACGUCACUCAGUGGCAAUUUCUCCUUAGGCGCAUGUCUCAGCAACACAAAACGAGGGUUUUGCUCGUUAUAGGACUUGACCAAACAUCUCACGACACGAGCUGACGACAGCCAUGCAGCACCUGUAUGAAAGUCAGUACCAUCCUGUUAAGGACAGGUUUUGUUGUUCAUAUGUCAAGGGAUAGUAAGGUUUUGCGUGUUGUAUCGAAUUAAACCACAUGCUCCACUGCUUGUGCAGGCCCCCGUCAAUUCCUUUGAGUUUCGGUCUUGCGACCGUCCCCACAUUUUUCUACCCCUUCUGUUCUGAGACGUGACUUUUCGUCGUCCCUCCUUUAAAUAAGAUCCCUCACUUAUAGCUCGACGGGACCACACGUGGACGGGGCAUUCAAAUUCUUUUUAUAGCAGGAUCGUAACAUCCUCUUAGUUUUGUCGAAAUUGGACAAACAUGUGUUCCUCAACCCUAGGUAGGGCGUGACUAGGACAUACCUAGCCACUCGAGCCAGACUAUUGUCUACCUAAAUAGCUUUUCGUUUGCCAUUAACUGAUCACCAAUGUUGCGUCACAGUCACUCAAAUACAGGGUUAGAGGAGCACCGUCCUUUCUUAUCUUGUGACCUUGAGUUGGUUAGGUGGUCAAUCUUUGGAUUCAGGGUUCAGUAGCACCUCGAGCCGAAUCUAUAUCGGUCGUUAUGGGUAAUCAUUUGCACCCUUAGGGCUUUUGGUACUUGGAACAGUUUAUCCUAGUCCCCUCUAGGCCAAGUAGUAUUGCACCCUUUGCAGCCGCUCCAAAUUACGCUUAUCAGAUCCCAAUAUCGUGCUAGGAUAGGAAGAUCGCCUCUUCCUGUGCAUUGUUGGUUCAUGAUUGUUCUGGAGUGCGAAUAACUUUGUGGGUGAUGGCUAACUUCUGAAACAUGCCUUCAAUCAAGACCAACCUAUCUAGAAGUAGCGGUUUCCUCAAAUGUGGGUUGCCGAGAUUCCCAGCGGGUGGUCUCGAUCGCUGCUAUAUGCAAUUUCUGGGUCCUGUGUUUUUGCUGACUUGUCCUCUUUUCAGCGAGUGGGUAUAUGAAACAUGCAUGCACUUUUUCCUAAAUCUGGAUGUAUCAAUAAGUUCAGUCCCAUAAAUAAAUAGAGUUUCCGACCUUUGGGAGGAAUUCCCCUUAAUAGUUAAUAGCUAGUUGGCUAGUUGGAAUGGCAGUACGUAACAUUCAGUGAUGAGUAGUUCAUAAUGCUGGUCUUAUUCCACCUGCAUGUCGGUAAAUAAAGUAAUAUAUUCUCUGACCCAGGGGAGGAAUUCUACAAAUAGCAAGGCAGUAUUGACUAUCUUCCAGUCAAGGGUUUGGAAGAAAGCACAUCAACCAAGAGAAUCGAUCAAUUCCUUUGUGUUUAUUUGCCUAACCACCCGAGUAUACUUGACUCAAGUAUGUCAUCUCAAAUCCAGACUAGUAAUAUCACAUCUGCAUAAGUCGGUUUCAACUAGUCAAGCAGUUCUGUUGUGAAAGCGGAGUAGUGCCUUUCCUGCAUUCCUUGGAUAAAGCGCCCUGGGCGACCGGACUCGACAAGGGUAAGAUCCCGAAUCUGUUCGAUUACCGGCUUGACCACACUGAUGCCGUGUUGUAUUACCUGGUUUCCCACCUUUGGAAUAGGGCCUUCUUGUAGCUAGGGUCUCCUUUGGUUGUAUGCUUGCUGCGAGGUCGCUCAUUGGGUAGGGUCUGCCUCAUGCCUAUAUUACUAUACCUAACAAUCUAAGUAAGCCCCCCCCCCCGAGGGCCUCCUCACUCCGAUUCACCUCCCAGGUGGUAUGAAAAACUGUUUAGUUUCUUUACCAUCAAUAGAGGAAUGCAUAGAGCUAACUCCUUAUCUCCUGGGCUUCUGGAAAGGUUGAUGCGUUAGUCCGUUGUCUUUCCUUCGGCUUUAGAGGGAUGAGUAGUUCGUUUCCUGGAAAAGUACCAACCAAUUUUUGAAUUUAGCAUUGUGCGCUUUAUCAAUUGGUCUUUCCCCCUCAUACUUCGAGGGUCUUCCCCUCGAGCUGAGCUAUUGAGAAUAAAUAAGUUGAUUCAAUCCUUUUGGAUUGAUCCACUUAACCACUGGUUUUUGGUUCCAGUGGCAACUAAAUAGUUUCCCAUACCAUUUGUGUUUUACCACCCGGUAUGGAGCCAUCUUACGUUUCGCCAGCUGCUCUUUGCCUAAGUGCGUGGGACCCAUUCAUAAGGUUUGUUGGACCCGGCUAAGCACCCUCCCGGUAGGGCUAGAGCGACAGCAAAGAAAUGGUCUUCUUAGGUUUGGCAAUUUUACUACCUCCUGUCGAAGAUCCGUCCAUCUACUUAUUGCCUCCGACCGCCUUCUUGUCGCCCCCUUUUUCUCUCCCCUCUUAGUGAACCCACUUUAUACGAUAUUUAUGACACAGAAUGUUGUUCUUUCAACAUGAUUCCUCAACAAUUUUGUCAUUCUAACUGACUCUCCGUUCUCUCCAUUCCAAUGCAUCCUUACGAAUACAAGAGUGGUUUUUUUGUUUUGGGUAUAGCAGGACUUGAACCUGCAACCAUUAGGUUAAAAGCCCAAUGCUCUACCAACUGAUCUAUACACCCGAUUUUACAAGAAGGCUGGGUGCGAAAAAGAAAAGAGGGCGGUCUGGCACCUUUUCUUCUUAUCAUAUCACAAGGGCGCGGCUCUGUAUGGUAUAGUACUGUGGAGCAAGUUUGGGAGUCCUUUCCACUCAUUGAGGAUUCUAUCUAAAAAAGAAGGUCAAUGGGGGAGACUACUUUGAAGUCCGGGCUGAACAAACUACUUCUCCUGCUACCAAAAUAGAGAAAUAAGGAAAUAAGAUGGAUUCGUCUAAUAAAAUACCCAAUGCCUGUAGUUGAAGAAUUGUUGGAUGAGUUAUCUUGUGCUGUUUGGUUUACUAAGCUGGAUCUGUGGGCUGGUUACCAUCAGAUAAGAUUACAUGAAGUAGACGAAUACAAAACGACAUUCAACACCCACGUCACUAUGAAUUUUAGGCCAUUUGGGCUCACAAAUGCACCACCCACCCUCCAGAGUGCUAUGAACACAAUUCUGGCUGAGCUGACUAGGGUUUGUGUACUUGUUUUUGUUGAUGACAUCUUAAUCUACAGCAAAUCCUUGCAAGAUCAUGUCACCCAUUUGCAGCAAGUAUUUGACCUUUUGAAGCAGAAUCAACUAUAUAUGAAGUUGAAUAAAUGUUCAUUUGCUCAACCACAGAUAGAAUACCUGGGUCAUGUCAUUAGUGGGAAAGGGGUGGCUACAGACUAAAAGAAGAUCCUCACAGUGAAAGAGUGGCCUACUUCCAAGUCAAGCACAUUAGAGUUUGGGCUUAGCAGGACAGGCGUUUCAUUCACAGGAGCUUAGCUCAUUUGACUGCUCAAAGACUUAAAACACCAAUGCAACACAAAGCUUUCCUUUCCUCAAGCUCAUGGGAUUACAAUAGAAUUACCAUCUAAAAUCUUCCACUGGAAGUUCUCUUUAAUAGAAUGACUGGCUUUACAUAUCUCCUUAUUAAUAGGAAAUGAAUCGGCAGCAACAUAGAACCCAUCCCAAGAACCCUCAAACCUCCCUGGAGAACACGGCUCCACAACGUAUUUGGUAGCGGAUCCAGUUUUCCUUAUUUGUUAACAUAUACCUUUCCUCUGCCUAUGAGCUAUCUAAAGGUCCAUCGUUAUCCUUUCCGGCAAUGGAGGCAGAAUCAAUGGUCAUGUCAGGUUUCAGAUUCAAAGAGAGAUGUCAAGCAAGCGCCGAAUCUGAGUACUCAACUUGCCCGACCCGCCUCUUCCACUAGACCUUGUCUUUCAAAGAGCAGCAGCCCUGCAAGCCUAAUAGAACCUUGUUUACCUAUUACUUACUUUUGCUUUGAGCGUCGCACUCCAGUGGCUUUCUUUCCUAUGGCUUGGAUGGGGGUCCUCAACAAGAUCUAUAUUAGUGUCAUUAUUUACUUAUUUAGACGAUAGAUGAUGAUAGAGAGCAGACUGGCUCUGAGGAAGAAUAUCUUAAGUAGUUGAAUCCGCUCCGCUAGGUUAAAUUGUAUGAUCUGAAUGUAGGAGGACUGCUGCUGGUGACACAAUUUCUUUUGGGUUUGAAGAAUGAACUCAGAGCUACAGUGGAAGUGCAGAUGCCUAACUCAAUUAGUGAAGCUGCAUCUUUUGCUCAAUCAAGUGCGGGAAGGAGUUUUGGAGAGAGGCAGGCACUACAUGAACAAGAAGGACAGUAACUAGAAUCAGAAGUCGGCUGCCCCGCAGCAGCAAGGCUAUGUCUCAGUCAAAGUUCGACAGGGGGCAAAACAGUUGCUGUCCUAAUAGAAGUUCAUGUCGAUCCAGCCAAGCCAGUGCCAUCAUUAGAAAGUCCGGCCAUUUUAGUUUCAGCCAGUUCAAGUUAGGGCAAGGAGGAAAGGAAGAGAGUAAUGCAAGGAUGUAAAGAAUGAGGUGCUAGAACAGACUGGCCCGCAGGCUUCCAACCUGACACCGCUUUGCUACUUUUCGAAAGAGGAAGAGAAGUUGCUUGUACGAGACUGCGCCUCCCGGCUGGAAACUCCAAUGGAAUUUUCGGUAAAUGAAAGCAAAGCGAAGCUUUACGACCAAGGAGAGAUAAGCAUAUUUUAUGAACGAUAGAAGGAGUGCUCCCCGAGCACAGGCUCGCUUGGAAGGAUAGAGCGCCGCAAGACAAGAUGGCAUAUUGAAGGGAAGGCUAUGAAAAUAAUUCUAGUCUCUCGAACGCCUGGCAUACUAAUACGAGCCGCAUACUUGAAUACUAGUGACAUAUUGGAGGAAAGGAGAUUAUUGGAAUACUAGAGGGAGUUACGCCCAUAAGAACUGCUGGCUGUAAACGCGACUUGCUCUGCUCCUCCUAAAACCAUUUUCGAUAGUAAGAUAGAUAUAGAUCUAGAGGGCCUAGAAGGGCAAGCAUGGACCGAAUAAUACACAUACUCUGUCUAGAUAGACGAUUUCUUCUUUCAUUUCCACUCAAAUAAAAGCACUUUCUUUCAAGCUUAUUUGCUUGAAAAAGAGCAAAGCAAUUCCAACAUAAACUAACACUUUAGGAUCCUCCAAGCCUUUCUAUAGACCCGUAAGGUACUAAAAACGAAAAACUAGCACUACUAACACAGGCUGAAGAGGAUGACCUCGAAAAAGAAUACAAUUAAAGAUGUGGCCUUCCCUUCAAGCACAUAUAUGGAUAUGGAGCACUCUUUUCCACCCUAAAAAAGAAUAGCCAGAGAUGGCUUUCUUUCCGUAUCAAUAGGUAGCCUUCCUUGCCUAUGGCUACUUUCAAAUGAAAAGGUCAAAAAAGAACUUGAUGUAAUAGGAUCACUUCAUUAAUGCUUUCAAACUCGAUUGUAAACUAUUCCCACCUAAAAGAUAAGCUUACUACUUCAAAUAGGUAGAUGGAAAGAAAGCCAUAUUUUCCACCUUAUUUACAUAUUCCAUUCCAGCCAUGGACAGCAACUCACUCUUUUCGAACUGCACUUUGAAAGCCAAACCCAAGAAAGACCAUAUCAACUACUCUCCAAAUAGCAGGAUAAAUCACAGAAUUCAAAUGAAAGACAGAAAGAGAAGGCAAUUCAAACCUAAUGGCCAAAUGAAUCCAAGACAGAAAUACUUAUAGCCAGAAAAGAAUAACAAGAGAACGAAAACAACUCCAUAUUCUACUGGCCUUCCUCUCUGAUCUACUAUCCAACUGUCAUGGAAGCACCACUGUUCACCCUAGGCUCACAUUUUGGCACUUCAUUCACUGUGUACUCAAAGGACUUGCUUGUCUUUUAACUCGGGCAAAAACUGCAGGAGUGAAUUGACUCGUAAUUAUACAAACAAAUGACCCAGCUGGCCUUCUCCUAUCCGCGGAAUCAUCGGGACAUGCUUCACUUAAAGUGAUUAUACCACAUAGUUUAGGGAAGCGAAGCCAUAGUUCGGGUUAGUUCACGCUAGAUUAUCGAAGCUUGUAACACCUGUUAGAACACAUUAGGAAAGCGCAAAAGAUUUCUAUUUGGAGUUCUUUCAUUUAGUUGCUCGAUCACUGCCAUCCGCAUUGGGCUAAUUCAAAUCCUAUGCUCCAUGCUCUUGCGGGUUUGCUCCAUUUGAACUUGUCCACACUGGCAUAAACAGUAUCUCCCCGGAACUAAGAGGCAUGUAUGCCCAUCUUUAUCGAUUCAAAGAAAUGAAUAAGUAUCAGCGAGGCAGGGAAUACGGGCCCGGUAGAGAUAGGGAUGAUCGGCAAGCGCUACGAGCGGGGCCGAUGUUUCGUGUUGUGGGUGGCCAUCGGAUUGUUCAGCGUGCCCAUGCGGAUCCCUACCAAUGUCCUAGACUACAAGUUCAACAAACUUCCGGCUUGGGUCAGGAUACAAAGUUACCCAGGAUGGGCUUGCCCUCUGGAUCACGCCGGGUCCUUGCUUGUUCCAAUGUCAUGCUAGGAAUGUAUCACGUGCCCAUGCAAACCAAAGGAAAGCAGAUACAACUAUUACAGAUCCUAGUCCUAUUUCCCAUCAGAACAUAAGGGAGUGGGCUUCCUUUGUAACAGCUCUGUUCUGGUCGUGGCUCACCUCACUGGACCAACGCUUCUGGUCGGAAGUUGGUCGAUCGCCUAGUCGGCAACCGGCACAACACGUUUGCCAGUGGGAUUUCUGUUGGUUUUCGUACUAUGCGCAAUGAAAGUUUCCAAAAAAAGGAGAUCUCUAAGAACAGCGUUCUACGGGGAGAAUGUGAUUUUUGUAUACUUUGACCCCAUACUGGCAUGAAACUGAUCGGAAAAAGGACCUCAAAUUAGGGCAUUAAAUAAUCUCUCUCUUCCAUCCCUGGGGUUUAUAGGAAUAUUCAGGCUGCACAUGACGAGUUAGGAACUGUAUAUUAUAGUCCAACAAAUUACUUUCUCCGUACUGAUAAUAAAGUUUACUAAAUCAAAUGUAAUAUCUUUUUAUCUAGAGGAGUUAAAUCGUAUAAAAAUCAAUUAUAAAUAAUCUUUUUACUGUAAUAUUAUUUCAAAGUAGGGGAGACAUCUGAACAUAUUUUAUAUAAGUGUAUUGUCAGCUCUGGUUUUUAUUGAGUCUUGGUCUAGAGGUUUAUGUGCUUUCUAAGGUUCUGGAUACAACAUAUUGAUGCAUAUCCAAUUGAAACAAUCAGUACUAAAAUAUGAUAUGCUUCCAUCAGUGCCUCAAAACAUUUGCUAUUCUUAUCUCUAGAAGGGUGCUUAUAUUGUUGUAGUGUUUAUAGCGAAAGAGGACAAAAGUCCAGCCGGACACAGUAUAACUCUGGUAUCGCGUCGCGGGUGAAAAGGGCCUGAAUAUUUCCUACCAGCAAGCACCGCCACUAACUCACACGUCAUUCUUGCAUCUCGCUGACACUGGGCCCGAGAAACGGCAGAAAGCCAAAGGUGUGAACCUUGUAAUCUUUUCUAUACAGAAAAACAGACCCUCUUCGAAGCUGAACGUUGUGGGGCACUGCUGUCAGCAGAACAUUUCCUAGUGUGUAAGCGAAUUUUAAUGUGAUAAAAAGGCAGCGAAGUGUUCCAGCGGCCAGCCAUGACGUUCGCCCCACCGUCCAGACAGAUAAACCCCUCACCAAGCAGCGGAGCUCAGCAUUUCCACCACACCGACGCCUCCGGUAUCCCCCGCGGUUCCCUUUCCCGAGAAGCAGCUGAUCUUGGCCGUUAGAUCGACGUAUAAAUAGCCACGGGCACGCAAGGCCGGACCUCUAUUUCUUCACCUGCCUCCCCUCCCACCUGGGCAUGGCGACCUUCUCCAUGGAGGUGUUCGACAACGAGGUCGUCCCGUCCAUGCUCAGCAGCAUCGCGCCCAUCCUGCGCGUCGCCGCCGAGAUCGAGCCCGAGCGCCCCCGAGUCGCUUACCUCUGUACGUGCAUUCGUUUUCGCGGGGAUACGUAUGGUGCAUUUCACAUGCUGUUUUGAUGCGUUUGGGUUUGGAUUUUGUGGCAGAGCGAGCACUCCUGGUUCAUUUUUUUGGCGUCGGAUCAAUGCCGCGUAGGCUAUGUGUAGUUGGAAAAUUUUUGUGUUCCCAUGUUCAAAAAUGUUUGUUCUUAUAUUUUUUUGGGGGGCACAUGCGCGCCUCGAUUCGUGGUUUUCGAGGAUGUUUUGCUUUUGAUUCAUAAUCAUACGAGUCUAUCUAGAAAAACAGAUAGUGUGAUUUACUAGAGAACUUUUCUGGCUUUGCCAUUUUUCCUAGCUUUGGAGAGCUAAUUUUGGAGUAUGUUCGUAAGCGUCCGCAUUAGAUUUUUCUUUCGGCGAUCAUCCAUACGUAUUACUUGUUCAUUUCGGAGCACCUUUGUGUUUCACACUUGAGGGAGCAGAUUAGAUGUACUAGAUAGUGGUAUUUCCGAUACUUUCUUCGUUUUGUUGAAAUCAUGUUGCAAUCAGAUAGUUAUGGUCAAUUGGUUUGGCUAGAAUAGUUUCACGUAUCUCGAAUAGGGACUCGGGUAAUUGGUUUCUAGUUCCUACUACAUCCUGCAAAGUAAAUGGAAGUUUCUAGCGUUUUGCUCGCUUUAUUUUUCUUUUUUUUGCUGCAAACAUAGGUCGGUUUUACGCAUUCGAGAAGGUGCACCGGCUAGAUCAGAAUUCUAUUGGUCGCGGAGUCAGGCAGUUUAAGACUGCUCUGCUCCAACGACUUGAGAAGGUGAGACACAACUUAUUUCGUCUUCCUGAUGAUUAGGACAAAAUUGUAUCCCUUAGGAACCGUACAUGCACCUUUGUUUGGAUGCCGAUCUAAUAUUGUUACAAUACGAAAUACUUGAAGGCCACACGCAAUUGACUCACCUACAUUUUAUGCUCCCACCCUUUUGUAGAAAAAGCCUCUGCCUCUGGGGAAGUGCUCACAUCAACUCCAAUUUGGAUGGAGCUUCUCGAUGGGUUAGAGCGUUUGCGAACCAAAAAGGCGGAAAACCCAUCCUCCAAAGUAGUGAAGUGAGCCAGUACAAUAAGACAAUAUGUCUCAUGGGCCAAGCCUGCUAUCAGGCAGUGAGUGGGAAUCAAUCCUGAAAGAGAGAAGGUCUAGUGCUCUUAGAAAAUAUUUAAUUCGCCAAAAACUUGGCUUUAUCAGACCAAUCCAUGUUCAGAAGCCUUCCAUCAAAAGUCAGUGGUCUAGGCCGCUUUCCUUGACUUUGAGUUGGAUCUCAUUCUUCUUCCCGGCACAAAAAGAGGGUAGACUUCAUCCGAGACACAUGGGUUCUUUUGCUUCCUUCAAAGAACUCGUCUUUGAGCCUCUAAAAAGAAGGGCAUAGUAUCCCAACCACCUAGACCACCUAAAAGGAAGGAAUUGGUCUUUAGCUUUGAGUGAUCCAACCAUUGGUGAAUGGGUUCAGUAAGGUAGAAGGAAAGGGCCCCUCCCGACCUGGGAAAUUCACAGCAGGAAAGACUGGCGCCGAUCAGCGAAAGAGAACCCUUCAGUACAUCGUGUUCAGCCCUCCCUCAAAAUCCCAUUUGUUUUAUUGAGGAAUCACUCUUGAUCCUCUAAAGGAUCUUCUCUGUCUAUAACUCAAAGUCCAUAUGUCUCUCAUGGAAGCGCUUUAGAGUGCCUAGACGAUCCAGCAAACGGGGGUGCCAAUGUUGUCCCAAGAACAGAUCACGGUAGGUAGCUGCUUUAAAGAGGUUGGGAGACAGACUGGUGAACAAUCUUCUUCUUGUUUUCUCCGACCUAGAGCAUUCCUUUUUUCAAUCGUACGAAGAAACUCGGUGAAAAACCCAGCUAUCACUCCUAUGAGACUGCUAACUCCCAACUCCCGAUACAUUCUUUAGAUUCGACCAAAGGACUCGUUGGUUUGGACAUAGUUUCUUUGUUCCUGUGUUUCUGUUUUGCUCUCCCCCUUUUUUCACUUAGUUUAUUUGGAAUGGAAAGACAACUUCCUUCAGUUUUUAUUUUUUUGUUGUUGCCUGGUUCGGUCUCUCCGAGUGGAAUAAGUGGGUCCUUCUUCUUUUUCCUGACUGAUGAAGGUCGAAACUGAAGAUCGAAUCAAGCAGAGUCUGGAUUCCUAUGUUCGUACCAACUCAAAUGAUUGAUGAAUUGGAUCUUGAGUAUGCUCACUUCGCUACUCAGCAAGGGUGAAAGAAUGACAAAGAGACUGACAUCACAGAAGAAGGGAAGGACCCAAUCGCCUACCUAUUUCUUGGUCCUCCCCCCUGGUGGGUACUUUAUAGCUCACAACACGAGAUAGGCAGAUAUGUGACAUAGAAAAAUUGCUUUCAUUGACAACAAGACUCUCUUCCUGAUUGGGAUUGGUCUGUGUAGGAUCUCCUUCCCUAUGAGACUCUUGCUUUCCUUUGAAAGAGGCAGACCCCUACUUCAAUUGCCAUCUGACGCCUCUACCCGCCCUUGGUGUUCGUAGAUCGGUUUUGCCAGUUAGGGUUUGUGUGGUGGGUUUCGGUUAUCUCGGGUAGCUCCUCACUUGGAUGAGGAGUGGGGAAAUAAGAUUGCAGGAGAGAUCGAUGAAGAAGUGGAACUAAAGGAUACUAUAACCAAAGCUUAAAAUGGGGGGGAUGAGGCUGAUGUUGAGCCGGGUGAUGAAGCAACUUCACCGCAGCAAGAAGCCUAGUGAGCGGUUGACAUGGCGGAAGGUCGUUCUACCUUUCCAUGUGCCAACAAAGCAGGCAUACUUGAUUGACUCUUUGGGGCUCAUGAGAGACAUUCAUAUUACUGCGUUCUGUGAUCGUAGAUCAUCAGGAUUCAUCAUUGUAUAUCCGAGAUCUGAAAGUGUGGCAAAUGGAUUUGAAGGCAUGGAAAGAGGCCGCCCUCGUGCAAGGCUUCUUUAUUCUCCCGAUUUCCCUCCUCCAGUUGGAUUGACACGAAAGUCUAGUGAUAAUGUCGAAGUGCUUUACAGAGUCCCUUUCAGCCCCCGCUUUAUCAUAGGAAGAAGAAGAGUAAUCUAGUUUAGCGGUAAGUGCCCUUUUGUUGCCAAUAUCUAGAGUCCUGUUGUGUCGAUAGAGCUCGGAAACGUCCUCUUUUAGUGAUGGAUUCUAGUAGCCCUAUGCCUAGAUUGCACAAGAACUACUCCGCUUCUAUAUUGGAAAACACUUUGUUUGAGCUUCUAAAAAGAAAUGAAGCUGUUACCUGAUCCAAGCAGAUAAGAUGCUCACGGUCUGUCCUGAGCACUACAGAGAUAUUUCUUGAUCCACAUGAGAGUCAGCUCCCUACACCUACACCGGAUUAUGUCAAUGAGAGCUUGCCAAUAGAGAUACUUCUGACUUAGAGGCACCAGAGUUGGCCAACUGAAAUUGCAUUGACAGCGAACCCUUGGUAGAUGAUUCAGAGCAAGAUCAUAUUCUUGAUGAUUUUUCCCUUUGUUUGAUCGAGCGAUGCCGAAUCUUUAUAGCGCAUUUCCACCUAUCCAUGCUUUACGACUUGUCGCCAUGAAGCACAUGCCUGCGAAACCUUCUUAUUCUACAGAAUAAAUAAUAAAGUACUUAGAAUGAAUGGACUAAAGAUCCACUUUUCAAAAGGGACGGCUCCGCCUACAUGAGAAGAUCUUUCAAGCGAAAAUAAUGGGUAGCCAUGAGAAAUCUCGAUCGGCGACUCUGAUACCAUGAUAUCAUUGGUCGAAGAAUUCCUUGCCUCGCGGGACACGUAAAGAGACCUACCCACCACCCUUGUGCGUGCGAACCUAACAAGAUAUGUUGAUGCCAGCUACACCGCGCUUUCUUUCCGAUCGACCUGACAUUCAGAGGAGAAGAAGGAAUGGUUGUAUGCAUGCGCCGGACGCCUAUCAAAAAGUAAAAGAAACCAUGGAUGGGGAGAAAGAAAUCCCUACUUACUUGACAGGUUUCCGGGUCUCAGAAACAUAGAAAGGAUUUCACAAAUAGGAUAAAUGUCCAGUGAGGACAUCUCCUUGCUUGCUUUUUCAUUGACUGAUUCUAGUGGCUGGCCCAGUGAGAGAAUUACCAGUGUCUGUCAUUAGACUUUAUCUUUCCACGGUGAACUCCUUUGUUGUUGAAAAUCGGCUGGCUGGAUUGACCUUUGGGAUUGAGUCACUCUUUUCUGCCGAUCAUCCUCAACCUCAAGCACAAAACCACCUGUCGGAAAAAAAAAGAAUCUCAGUCAACACUUAGCAUGUGAUGCAGCCUUUAAGUAUCCAAAGUUCUGGAACUUAGAUGAUGCCCUUAAAUGGUAUAACAAACACCAGACUAAAAUGUUUACUUCGGACGAAAGUUUAAUUGAAUUUGCUGCGCAAGCUAGUGAUCCAUUUUUUUUCAUAGCCAAGAUCCUUUCUCAGGAUGAAGGAGUGAGUAAUUAUCAUCAGGUUCCAGUGACCCAAGAUGCGAGUGCGAGUGCAUGUGAAAUUAUGAGUUAUCUCUUGCUUAACUUAGAAAUGGGUAGGAGAAUGAAUCUUCUUCCAUAUUAAGACGGUCAAAUCCAAGAUGUGUACAUGUGCUUGCGGGAUGAUCUUAAUAAAUUGUUUUUUACCAGAUUGAAUAAUGUUAGUAGUAGUAAUUAGAAGAAAAAACUCAUAGAUUCUAUGUUAACCAGAAAGUUCGUCAAAGGAUUCUUUAUGCCAUCUCCACAAGGGUCCGUCCGGUUCUUCCUCAAAUGGGUUACCUCAAUAUUUAUCAAAGUUUUGGUAUCUAACUUAUCCAGCUACAGUAUAGUAUACUCCUUCCUUGCUCGAUAGAGCUCUUUGAAUCCGCUUCAACUAAAUGCGUAAAAUAGAGUAAUUUCUUCAAAAGCCAGUUUAUUUUGAGAAGGCAGGAGGCCCAUAGUGAGUUACAAUAGUGCCAGUUCUUGUACGGAAGGCCGUAAUUCCGGUAACCUCGACUGCUCUAAGAAUGAUCCGGGCUAGCCGGGCACAUCACAACAAAGUUAGGUCAUUUGUCAAAAACAUGGCAAAUAGCUCAGUUGGUUUGGUAAGGGAGCUAUUCUCUCACUUAAACCACUCCCAUAUUAGGUAUUCUAUCUCGUCUUAAAGUUCCCCCGCAUUACCCAUAACUUACCACCUGUAUCUCCGGAACUCAAAUCGCAAAAUGACAAUGCUUUUGAUAGUCUGUAGGAUAUUUUGCACUUUCAUAUUCUAGUUCCUCAUUUGAGCGUUCUUUUGCUCUGUUGGUGGGGCAUAAACUCAGAAAUAGUUUUUGUUUUUUCUUUAAAUAAUAGAAGUACUUUGUGUAGAAACCAUUUUGAUCAUCCCCGCUGUUUGACUUAUCAGGAGGCCCGAACAAAAGGCUCUUUAAGGAACUAGUCCCAUCACUCUCAGGCCCGACACCAACCAAGAGGAGGCGGGGCUCUCUCCAAUCAUUCCGAAGAGCCAAGAUCUCGUAAAGUAAAAAUUAGCUAGCUCAGCAGGUUUGGACCCGGGUGAAUCAGUUCAGUGAAGGAAGGGAGCCUAAACUUAAGGCUUUUCCAAGCCUUGCCGAUAGGCGCCUCAUGGCUUGCUCAAUUCGCUCGCGGAGUUCUUAGAUCAGCAGAUCUGGAUAGAGUCUCGCUAUUAAAGGAAGAGUAGCGUGCUAGCGCGGCUCGCUUCGCUUUUUGACGCGAAUGGCUCGUGUUGCGCUAGUGACACGAGGGUAAAACGCUCGAGUUGGCUUGCUGACUCGAGGAGGGAAAGGCUCCAUUUGCUUUAGUGAAUCAAGGAAGAAACAACCAUAGUAACUAUCUAUGAAAUUGAUUGAUGGAUAUGAGAGUGGUGCAAGACACGAAGGUAAGCACAUUCUAUUUUUCUUAAUUGACAAAGCAAAGGGAGUUAUCAACCCUUUUUUCCGAAACCCUAUAACGGCUAGUUCCCAAUGCUCGGCUUCCUACCUCCUCUAACAAAAUCAAAGGUAAUAUCCUCUGUUUUCCAAGAAGAUAAGUUCUACACAAAGGAUGUGAACGGAACAGUUUUGGCAAAGGCAAAGCCCGGGAUAAAGGCGGUAUCCUAUGAAGAACAUCUUCGACAUCUCAGAAUCAUAUUCGACCACCUAAGGCAACAUGCACUCAAGUUAAACCCAUUGAAGUGCGCCUUCAUGGUUUCGUCAGGCAAAUUCCUAGGGUUUGUCAUUCGACAGUCCCAUCGACGAAGACUACUUACUAUACGCGUUUUUGAGUUGCAUUUAGUGCUCUUUUUUCUCGCUAGCUAAAUCAAUCAAUUUGACAAGAUCUUGCAUCAAUCACCUUGUCCGCUAGGGAAAUGCACUCCUGAAUAGACUCGAUUCCCCGCCCCGCAUCAGUGAAAUGUCUAAGACGCAAGGUCGGCUCAAGAAAUGGAAGUUGUGAGAUGGAAAGAAAACCACGAAAAAAGAACUGAAUUAGGGAUCAAUCCAUACGCGGCUUGCCUUCUCCCCUUCCCCAUAGUAAGCCAGCCAAUAGAAUAGUACCCUAACUUAAGAAGUUCUCUUAGCUAGCGCAUGUCCAUUAAUGUGACCACCGCAUGCUCCUGCAUGAGUUUCAUGAAUGGUUUGUUUUUGAAUCCUAUCUCUCUGGGGAAAGGUAUCUUUUUUCAAUUCGAACAACAGAUGCAGCUUCAAGAGAGCUUUAUUCGGCCUUUGUAUGACCGUAUUCCCUUCCUGUCUAUCUCCUUCGGUCAGGUAGUUCUGCUUCCGAUGCCGGAGGAGCAGGGUGGGAUAGAAGGGUAGUUUCUGAGUUUGAGAUGUCUGAGCUUGGAGGUUCCGCUUCUCUAAUGUGAUAAUAAAGCAACAAGCAACGCCGCUCCCGUGCGCUCAUCCCUUGCUUGUUUCCUUUCCUGUUGUAAAGUCUGCACCCUUAGAGGUGGCAUCCCUUUACGCAUGAGCCUUGUUAGUGCAUGUCUCAGUCCCUUGAGACAUGCUCAGUCCUAUGUUAGGAAACCAAACGGUGUAAUUAGCUUCCCCCUCUAUUCCCGGCCAUCGUAUGGACGAGGGCUCCUCUCCCUCUGCUCUGCUUCCCGGAAAGGUAUAUAUAUACUUAAAUUAGGAAUUGAAAAUGCUUGGGCUUGCCUUAUUCUCUCAUUUAAGUCCUUCAAUUCCCUUAUCUGGAAUGGACAGGGAUGUUGUUGAAGGGAAGGAACGGAGGUAGAUCGUUCCUCAGAACGUAGGAGAACAUGACCCACGAAUCAGCUCUAGUCCGGAAAGCCAGGGCUCUGAGCUCUUAUCCCUUCAUGGGUAAGAGCGAAAGCAAUAGCCACCAAUCUGGCGAAGAGGUUUCGCCGCGCUGAGCUCGGUGAACCGGAUUCUCCCGACCCCGAUGCGCCUUUGGAAGAGUAGGAGGCUCAUUCCACGGGAUCCCCUGAAAGCACAAAAGCAAAUGAUGGGGCGAACGAGGCAGGCCCGUCUUCUUCGCGGAAGCGUAAAAGGUGGGAUGAUGAUUCGGGGUCCGAAGAUGAUGAUUCGGGGGGCCCCUAGGAAUCUCCAGAUCUAGUGGAAAUCGUUUACGAAGGGGAUGCACAAGGGUACAACUAGGAGGGGACCUGCGACCGCCUUCUUGUCGCCUGCCUUUUUCUCUCCCCUCUUAGUGAACCCACUUUCUUUAGUAAAGCGGUUUUGCAUCCGUUCACUUCUUGACUUUCCAUGGGUUUCUUAGAGAGCAGGUGGUUCUCGGUUCCCCACAUUUUUCUACCCCUUCUGUUCUGAGACGUGACUUUUCGUCGUCCCUCCUUUAAAUAAGAUCCCUCACUUAUAGCUCGACGGGACCGCAUGUGGACGGGGCAUUCAAAUUCUUUUUAUAGUGGGAUCGUAACAUCCUCUUAGUUUUGUCGACAUUGGACAAACACGUGUUCCUCAACCCUAGGUAGGGCAUGACUAGGACAUACCUAGCCACUCGAGCCAGACUAUUGUCUACCUAAAUAGCUUUUCGUUUGCCAUUAACUGAUCACCAAUGUUGCAUAACAGUCACUCAAAUACAGGGUUAGAGGAGCACCGUACUUUCUUAUCUUGUGACCUUAAAUUGGUUAGGUGAUCAAUCUUUGGAUUCAGGGUUCAGUAGCACCUCGAGCCGAAUCUAUAUCGGUCGUUACAGGUAAUCGUUUGCAGCCUUAGGGCUUUUGGUACUUGGAACAGUUUAUCCUAGUCCCCUCUAGGCCAAGUAGUAUUGCACCCUUUGCAGCCGC